AAAAUUUGGUUUUGCUGUUGUACCAUGUCACUUUGAAGUUCCUUGAUGUUAGCCUCUGAUUGCUGUAACUGAGCGAGUGCUGCAUUUUUCUCCGCUUGCAGUGCCAUAACCUCAUUAUACAGAUCAGUCUUUCCUGCUUCGAGGUCUUUAUUGGCCUCCUGAAGUUUUGAAAUCUCUUGGACUUGUUGUUCUAACUUGCUCUCAAGAUUAAUAACAGAAGUAGCAGGUUCAUUUUUUUGUCCUUGUAAUUCAACAAUUUCAUUAUGCAGGUUAGAAUUUGCCAGCUCCAGGCCUUCAUUAGUCUUCUGCAUAUCUGAAAUCCUCUCAAGUUGUUGUGCUAGCUCAGUCUUAAGAUUCAUCAAAGAAGCCUCUAGCUGCUCUAUCUCUGACAUGGCAGAAUCAUUAUCCUUCUGUAGCUCGGCAAUAUUACUUACAAGAAUCUUGAUAGAAGCCUCAGACUGCUGCAGAUCUGAAAUUAUUUUGUUCUUUUCAUCUUGUAGUGCUAAUAUUUCAGCUUGGUGACUAAACUUCGCCUCUUCCAGUUGCAUCUUCAACUUGGAGUUACUUUUUUGUAGGUCUUCAUUAGCAAGCUGCAGGUCAGAAAUUUGUUCAACUCGCUGGUCUAACAGAACUCCAAGGGUCUUGAGUGAAUCAUUUGACUUCUGUAAGCUAUUAAUGGCCUCUUCCUUCACUCCUUGUAGCACAAUGAUCUCAUCUUCCAGAUUAGUCCUUAUCUCUUCAAGUUGCUUGUGUAAACUAGAAUUUGUACUCUGCAGCUCUUCAUUUUCUCGCUGGAAAUAUGAAAUUUGGUUUUGCUGCUGUACCAGGUCACUUUGAAGUUUCUUGAUGUUAGCCUCUGAUUCCUGUAACUGGGCGAGUGCUGCAUUUUUCUCCUCUUGCAGUGCCGUAAUCUCAUUAUACAGGUCAGUCUUAGCUGCUUUAAGGUCUUUGUUGGCUUUCUGAAGAUUUGAAAUCUCUUGGACUUGUUGUUCUAACUUGCUCUCAAGAUUAAUAACAGAAUCAGCAGCUUCAUUUUUUUGUCCAUGUAAUUCUACAAUUUCAUUAUGCAGGUUAGAAUUUGCCAGCUCCAGGCCUUCAUUAGUCUUCUGCAUAUCUGAAAUCCGCUCAAGUUGUUGUGCUAGCUCAGUCUUAAGAUUCAUCAAAGAAGCCUCUAGCUGCUCUAUCUCUGACGUGGCAGAAUCAUUAUCCUUCUGUAGCUCGGCAAUAUUACUUACAAGAUUCUUGAUAGAAGCCUCAGACUGCUGCAGAUCUGAAAUUAUUUUGUUCUUUUCAUCUUGUUGUGCUAAUAUUUCAGCUUGGUGAAUAAACUUCGCCUGUUCUUGUUGCAUCUUCAACUGUGAGUUACUAUUUUGUAGGUCUUCAUUAGCAAGCUGCAGAACAGAAAUUUGUUCAACUGCCUGCUCUAACUGAGCUCCUAACGUCUUGACUGAAUCAUUGGACUGAUGUAAGUUGUUAAUGGCCUCUUCCUUCUCUCCUUGUAGCACAAUGAUCUCAUCUUGCAGAUUAGUCCUUAUCUCUUCAAGUUGCUUGUGUAACCUAGAAUUUGUACUCUGCAGCUCUUCAUUUUCUCGCUGGAAAAGUAAAAUUUGGUUUUGCUGCUGUACCAUGUCACUUUGAAGUUCCUUGAUGUUAGCCUCUGAUUGCUGUAACUGAGCGAGUGCUGCAUUUUUCUCCGCUUGCAGUGCCAUAACCUCAUUAUACAGAUCGCUCUUUCCUGCUUCGAGGUCUUUGUUGGCCUCCUGAAGUUUUGAAAUCUCUUGGACUUGUUGUUCUAACUUGCUCUCAAGAUUAAUAACUGAAGCAGCAGCUUCAUUUUUUUGUCCUUGUAAUUCUACCAUUUCAUUAUGUAGGUUAGAAUUUGCAAGCUCCAGACCUUCAUUAGUCUUCUGCAUAUCUGAAAUGCUCUCAAUCUGUUGUGCUAGCUCAGUUUUAAGAUUCAUCAAAGAAGCCUCUAGCUGCUCUAUCUUUGAGGUGGCACAAUCAUUAUCUUUCUGUAGCUCGGAAAUAUUACUUACAAGAUUCUGGAUAGAAGCCUCAGACUGCUGCAGAUCUGAAAUUAUUUUGUUCUUUUCAUCUUGUAGUGCUAAUAUUUCAGCUUGGUGACUAAACUUCGCCUCUUCCAGUUGCAUCUUCAACUUGGAGUUACUAUUUUGUAGGUCUUCAUUAGCAAGCUGCAGGUCAGAAAUUUGUUCCACUCGCUGGUCUAACAGAACUCCAAGGGUCUUGACUGAAUCAUUUGACUUCUGUAAGCUAUUAAUGGCCUCUUCCUUCACUCCUUGUAGCACAAUGAUCUCAUCUUGCAGAUUAGUUCUUAUCUCUUCAAGUUGCUUGUGUAAACUAGAAUUUGUACUCUGCAGCUCUUCAUUUUCUCGCUGGAAAUGUGAAAUUUGGUUCUGCUGCUGUACCAGGUCACUUUGAAGUUUCUUGAUGUUAGCCUCUGAUUCCUGUAACUGAGCGAGUGCUGUAUUUUUCUCCUCUUGCAGUGUCGUAACCUCAUUAUACAGAUCUGUCUUGGCUGCUUUGAGGUCUUUGUUGGCUUCCUGAAGAUUUGAAAUCUCUUGGACUUGUUGUUCUAACUUGCUCUCAAGAUUAAUAACAGAAGCAGCAGCUUCAUUUUUUUGUCCUUGUAAUUCUACAAUUUCAUUAUGCAGGUUAGAAUUUGCUAGUUCCAGGCCUUCAUUAGUCUUCUGCAUAUCUGAAAUCCUCUCAAGUUGUUGUGCUAGCUCAGUCUUAAGAUUCAUCAAAGAAAUCUCUAGCUGCUCUAUCUCUGAUGUCGCAGAAUCAUUAUCCUUUUGUAGCUCGGCAAUAUUACUUACAAGAUUCUUAAUAGAAGCCUCAGACUGCUGCAGAUCUGAAAUUAUUUUGUUCUUUUCAUCUUGUUGUGCUAAUAUUUCAGCUUGGUGACUAAACUUCGCCUGUUCUUGUUGCAUCUUCAACUGUGAGUUACUAUUUUGUAGGUCUUCAUUAGCAAGCUGCAGAACAGAAAUUUGUUCAACUGCCUGCUUUAACUGAGCUCCUAAGGUCUUGACUGAAUCAUUUGACUGAUGUAAGUUGUUAAUGGCCUCUUCCUUCUCUCCUUGUAGCACAAUGAUCUCAUCUUGCAGAGUAGUCCUUAUCUCUUCAAGUUGCUUGUGUAAACUAGAAUUUGUAUUCUGCAGCUCUUCAUUUUCUCGCUGGAAAAGUGAAAUUUGAUUUUGCUGUUGUACCAGGUCACUUUGAAGUUUCUUAAUGUUAGCCUCUGAUUGCUGUAACUGAGUGAGUGCUGUAUUUUUCUCCUCUUGCAGUAUUGUAACCUCAUUAUACAGAUCAGUCUUGGCUGCUUUGAGGUCUUUGUUGGCCUCCAGAAGAUUUGAAAUCUCUUGGACUUGUUGUUCUAACUUGCUCUCAAGAUUAAUAACUGAAGCAGCAGCUUCAUUUUUUUGUCCUUGUAAUUCAACAAUUUCAUUAUGCAGGUUAGAAUUUGCCAGCUCCAGGCCUUCAUUAGUCUUCUGCAUAUCUGAAAUCCGCUCAAGUUGUUGUGCUAGCUCAGUCUUAAGAUUCAUCAAAGAAGCCUCUAGCUGCUCUAUCUCUGAUGUGGCAGAAUCAUUAUCUUUCUGUAGCUCGGCAAUAUUACUAUUCAUAACAUUUAUUGUUGAUUUCAGUUCGUUUUCUAGAGCUUUAACACUAGACUGUGCCUUCUCUAACUCAUUCAAGUACAUUGAAUUUUCUGAUACUAGUCUUUCUUUUUCUUCUGCUGCAGUACGACGCUCCUUGUCCAGAUUGUUCAUUAGCUCUGCGGCCUCCACUUUAAGGCCUUCUAUCUCUAACCCCAGUUGCUGGAGUUUUCUUUCAGCUGAAUGAUUUUCUGUGAUCAAGGAUUCAUUUUUAGCGGUGAUUUCUGCAAUGGCUGCCUUCAGUUGAAAGCACUCAACAUCUAAAUUCUGAUGAAGUGCUUUCAGGUUAUCAUGCUCAACCAAUAGCAUCAAGUUAUCAUUCUUCAGCUUCUGGUUUUCUUCCAACAAGGUCUGCACUUCUUUCUCAGCCUGUUGGGCCUUCUCAACUUCUGCUGAUAGGAGGUUGCAUUUGUCCAUUGUUUCAUUCAGCUUAUUCCUCAGAUCUUCCUUCUCCUUCUCCAUGUCUACAAUUAACAUCUUCAGGUUAUCUCUCUCUUCUUCAAUAAUCUUCUUCUCACAAGACAAUGUUGUGACCUCAGUCUCCUUGGAUUUUACGGUGUUAAGCAAUUUUCCUUCCUCCCUUUUUGCAGUUUCAACUAACAAUUUCAUAUUUUCAUUCUCAGAUGACAAAUUUGCAAUCUCUGAACUUGUAGCUUCUUUAUCUUUGAUUGCUUUAUCAAUUAGCUGCUUCAGAUCAGAUAUUUCCUUGGCCUGUUCUUCUGUACUUUGUUUCAGCUUCUCAAUCUCUGCUUCCAUGUUAUGAUGCUCAGUAGGCUUAUGGUAUAGGUUGUUUUCUUCCUUCACUGCUACUUUUGGUGCAGUGACAUCAUUGUCUGAGCUGUCUCCUUCUGUGUCUGAAUCAGAUGAAUCUGAACCAGAGAAAUUGUAGCCAACAUUUUCUAGUUUGCUAAUUAGUUGCUUGUAGUGCUUGUGAAGGUAUUGAUAGUCCUCAUGGAAGCCCCUCACAAGGGAAGACAGCUUUAAUUUCUUGACAGGAUUUCCAUAAUCAUCUUUUUCAUUCUCAGUCUGCUCGGUCUCCUCUCCUAUCAUUCGCAAAAUGUUCUCCACAUUCUCAUCAACAUCUGAAAAACCAAAAUAGCAACUAUUGUUUUCAGACUAUGACUCGCUAGAAAUAGGAUAGCUAUAAGUUGAACAAGCCAUAAUUCUUCUUGAAAAAUGUAACUAUAGCAAUGCCAAAAAAACACUUUAAUGGUGAAAUACGAACAUAUAAGACUCAUUCAUGUUCGGUGGGUAUUGGAAUCACGUUGAGAUCAGCCACAAGAAUGUCAAAAAGGAACAACAGUAGAUCAGUAGGAGUUUUCAUCUAUGUAGAAACUGCACUUCGAGAUCUCUAUGCCAACAUAAAAAUUCCUUUGAGUAAAUAUUAGUCAUGAAUUAAGACAGUACCCUUUUUGCUCUCAAGAAGAUACUUGGAUUUCCUAAUUUUGUGUUUCUUUGUCAUAAUGGCGUUCUUGUCUCCACAAGCUUUACUAUUUCUUUGCAGGAAAUCUUUCUCAGACAAAAUUGAUCAUAGCUGAGGUCGUAUGAUGCUGCAAUCCUGAAUAGCUUUGCGCCUGAAAUGGUUAAAAAAACACAAAGACAAUGAAUGGGAAGUCAUCUGUGGAUAGUAUCUAAUCUUAAAUAGCAAAAUUAUCGAAAGGAAGAUCAAGAUAAAAAAAACAGGUGGUUCAAUAGAAACUAUUUAACUAGUUAAUGAUUGAAAAAUAUCAUCUGCACUUUUCACACAAAACAACUGAAUAAGUAUAAAUUGGAAAAGAUGGAAGCCCCUCUGAAGGGGUAUAUAUAACCAACUUUUGCAAAAUAGGAGUUGAAUGUACAGCUAUAUUUCCAGAGUGCACAGAAAUAUUAAUUUGUGAAGCUUAUAUCCAGAAUUUGGAGCCUAAGUUAGUAGCAGCAGUAACCUUUAAUGCUCUUGCACUAAGACGAAGUAGAAUGGCAAGCAUUUCAAGCAUGGAUCGUAUAUCCUAUAACUAAAUAUGCACUUCAAAUUAUAAAGUAAUAUAAUUUACGUCAUAAGGUCUUGAUUAAAAUUACAAAUAGUUGUUUCUCUGCAGGCCCGUUGUUAUGUCAUGAUCUCCUUCAUUUGUAUGCGGUAAUAUACAGCAUGGAUCGUAAGUGGUCUAUUAAUCAAAUAAUUGAUAUGGCCUCUAAAAGUUUAAAACGUCAAUUUUGACCCUCUACCAGGAAUAUUUCCAAACAUAUGCUAUAUCAUGAUUUUUAGGACAAUUUCAUUAUAUCAUGCUUAACAACAUUUGGGUAAGUGGAAAUGUAAUCUCAGUGAUAAAUAGGCAGAUAAGAUGCCAUGGUUGGUGACCUGGAAGACAAUCACUUGUAAAAUCAUUACAUUUUUCAUUUUGGAUCUUGACAAAUUAUGCUUGGCAGGAAAAGUUUUUUUUAUAAACUACAACAGUAUACCCAUUAACAGUAUAUAUUGAGACUAAGGUACUUCUUUUAGAUAACAAACAAUGGUACUUGUGGAAGACACUUUGGAGGCUCAUAUCUGUUGCAUUAUCUUAGCUUUGUAAUAAAAGAAGACAGUCUUGAUGAUUUUGCAAAGAUUGCUGAUAAACACAUCAAUAUUUAUAGAUUCUUCUAUGCCAAAAAAAAAAACAAAGCCAUCUCAAAACCAGAUUCUGACUGAGCUAAAUUGCAAUGCAUGGAUGAGUACAUUAUAAAACGUUUGGUCCAGUUCCAUCCGCCAAAGUUGCGUGGGUGCCCAAAAUUUACAAACCUUUUGGGCAGCACAACUUCAGACAUAUCUAAAAUGCAUAUGGGUAGGCCAUAGUGAGCCAUGCUGAGUGUCAGCCUUCUGCUAACAGAAGUAUAACAUGGUAGUAUCUUCGGCCUGGAACUAUCAUGGUCUCUGUUGGAAACAGUACACAUAUGCGAUCUAAUUGGGGAAAUAGCAGCCCGAAGGAAUUUUUGUCAUACGAAAUCAAUAAACAUCACGAAUGUAACGACACGCGGGACCCGACCAGUGCUGAAACAGUUAGGAAACUAAUCCAAGAAGAUAGAAUUAACAAGUGACGAGUGCUAACCACUCCGCUAAUAUAUUCAGAUAUCAAGGAAGGGAGAAAAGGAAAAAAAACAUGAAAAACAAGAGAAACAAAGGCGGAGGUUAGGAACAGAGAAAGAGAUGCUUAUGACACUUAACGCUUAUUCUAAUCUAGCAUCUCCCUCACUCUAUGCCAGUUGCCAGUUGCCACAUCAGAACGCACACGACCAGGGGAAGAUUUGGGCCUAGGGCCACGACCCUAGGCGUGGCCCAAAUUGCCCCUUAUACCUCUCCUACAUUUUCCAUGACCCAGCUAGCAUUUCUGUGGACUGGCCUAGGCGUCGCCCAGCAGGCAGGCAGGCAAGCAGCCAGCAAGGGCAAAGGCCCACGCAGCCCAAGUUGUACAGGCACAUGUUGACCCGGGAAUCCUAUCUAUCUUUCGGAAGGUGGGACUAAUGUUUUUCGUGCGACCUAUCAGAUUAUGCGUGGUUCGAGGUGCGUGCGGAGCAGCAGCGUGCAGCCAUGCAGGGACAGGUGUCGUGUCGCAAGUGGAGGGAAGUGGGUGGGAUUCUAACGAGAUUUCCAACUAAUCGUGUUUUCUCCUGAACCUUAGAUCCAAUUUGAAAUCCGUUUGAACCAUAGCAAUUUUUUAAAUUAUUGUAACAGAACGAGGUUCAGUAUGUUAUUUUACAUUUUUUUAGUUUACUAUUUCAACAUUUUUAAUAUAUCUUUUCAACAUUUAAUAUAAUAUAUCAACAUUUUUAAUACAUCAUUCGACAUUUUUAGUACAUUGUUUCAACAUUUAAUGUAAUAGUUAAAUAUUUUUAAUACAUCAUUUCAACAUUUUUAGUAUACUGUUUCAAAUAAUAUAUUAUUUCAACAUUUUUUUAGAAAAUGAUGAAAUGCCGCCUGACCGGCUAACGGCAUCGUGCAGUCGUGCCCUCGCCACUCCAUGCAACUGCGCGUCCCGGAAUCCCGAUGCUGCCCUCUUUGCCUGCUCUCUCUCUCUCCCGCUCUCUCUCUCCCUCUCUCUCUCCCCCUCUCUCUCUACAGUCUCCACGGUCUCUCCCUCUCAACAAAUCCGGAAAUCCGCAUCAGCGACCGACAGUAGAGCGGCAGCGCACAGCCUUCUCAGAGGAGUGGAUACUCAAGGCUGGUCCUGCGGCACCUGAGGCUGGCGUGUGUGUGCGGCCGCGCGCUAUUGCCGGCACGCCACUACGGCGGCGCCAUGCAGCCGGGUUCGGCAAGGUGGGAACGGGCGGGCGCCAGUGCGCUCGUGCGGUGCGCGAGACACAUGCGGCAGGUCCAUGCUCCAUCCUUUAUUAAUUCCUCCUCAUCUCCCCAAUCCUUUCUAUUUCAAUUGAACAAAUUUAAUUAAUUUGUUAUUUAUGCUGCAAUUUGUGGGCUUCUACAGUUAUACUAGAAUUACUCAAUGAAGAGGAAAUAGAAACAGAAGGAAUGGGUGCUACCAGUAUAAGUACUUGUCGCUAAUACUGGGCUAUGCAUUCCCCAUUAUCCUUUUUCACAAAUUAACUGUACUUUGCAUUUUCCUUGCCUAAUUCAUUUGAACAUAUGAUAGGUGUGGACGGACCAAAUCAGCACCAGUUAGGUAUUUUUUGAAAAUUUCCAAGUUUUUAUUGAGUUCAUUAAAAAAUUAGGUUUGGAAUUAAGACUACUAGUCCAUCAACCCGUGCUCCCGCACGGGCUAAUGUUUUUAAAGCCAUCGUAUUUAAAAAUUAUUUAAAAAUAAAUUCCUAACUAAUAAUCAAAAUUGUUUACCUACGGGCAUUAUCAUUUUUUCAAUACUUCAACAUAAUACUCAUAUAGGUAUGUACUUAUCUUUGCCUAGCUGUGAUUGAUUUUUAAUUAAUAGUUAUCCUACACACUUUUUCAUUCACAUUCACACUUUUUUCAUCUUGUAUCGCACCUCUAUACAUUAUGUUUAGCAUAAAAAUCAAUAUUUUUCAUCAAUUUCUCACAUACAUGUAUAAAUGGUCUAAAUGGUGACACUCAUCAUGUGCAUAUACUUUAACUUAGUAUUUCUAUCUUCACAACAACAUAAAUAGGUAAUUUAGAAUUAUAUAACAUUUCUUUAUUAUGCACGUGAAGAUAAUUAGAUUAAGAUUUAGGUAUUUACUUUAGGUUAUUUUAAUAACAAGGGUAACUAAGAUACAAAUUACAACAGCAUUUUAAGUUAUGCUUUAUAUAAUGAGAUGUAUGAGUAAAUUGGAUGAAAAUUAUGAGGUUAUUUUAGAUUAUUUUUUAUAAUGGCCGAGCUUUAUAAUUUAGAUAUAAAUUUGGAGUUUAUUUUUGAAUAUUUUCAUAAUGAUAGUGGUGGGUAAAUAUUUAGAAAAUAUAAUAGAUCCAUGAUUAUGAUUAUUAGAGUUUAUAGGAUUGAUAUGUUUUUAUUUUUGUGAGAAUUUCUAUUUGUCCUUUUUUUUUCUACCGUGCCUCAUGGGAACUAAUACAGAGUCUCCAAUAGAAAAAAAAAUAAGACCACAUUGCUACAAAACUUGAGCUACCUCUUAUUUGUUAAAUAUUCGAACACAAUACUUAUAUAGAUAUAUACUUAUUAUCUUCAUCCGAUUGUGACAGAUAUUAGUUAGUAAUUACUCUAUAAUAUUUUCAUCCACAUUUAUAGUAUUUAACUUUUCACUUUACAUCACAUGUAUGCGCUUGCAUUUGAUUAAUGGACCCUAAUUUUGAGCCAUAAUUUUAACAUAGAAAUCUAUAUUUUUAUCACUUCCUUUAUAUCUUUAUAAAUGGUGACACACAUCAUGUAUAUCUUAAUUAUUAUAUCAUAUACCAACGGUGUAAGAAAUAUAUGAUUUAGAAUCAUAUAUUGAUGUAUAUUUUUAAUUAAGGUGAUUUGGAUUCAAAUGCAGGGUUACCUCAUGUUAUUUUUGAUAAUGGCAUACAUGGGUAACAUAGAUGCAAAUUUAAGGAAUUACUUUAAGUUUUUUAAGUAUUAGUGGUGGGUAAUUUAGUUACAAAUUUAGGGGUUAUUUUAAAUAUUUUUAUAAUGGUAUAAGUGGGUAAUUUUGAUAGGGGGCUAUUUUAGUUAAUUUUAUAUAAUGGCAGAGAUGGGUAAUUUAGAUAUAGAUUUAGGGGUUACUUUAGACUAUUUUCAUAAUGGUAUAGUGGAUAUUUUUUUUAGAAAAUAUAAUAGAUUCAAUGGCUACGAUGAUUUGAGUCUACCGACAGAUGUUUUGCUUUUUUUUAUGAAUUUCUAGGUUUCUCUCUUUUCUAAGAGUGUCCACCUAAGAACCACAGGUGGCUUUACCUGGAGGCUUCAAAAGAACUUCCAAUUAGUGAUAGUAAGAUACUCUAAAAAGCAUAGCAUGCAUUUGAUAUUUUGCUGCUGUGACUAUCGCUAUGGGAGCUAAUCUGGGUGGUUCAACCGCUUAGAUAAGUGGCCCUAGGCGUAGAAAUCUGCCAGCUCCGCCACUGCACACGACCCAACAUAGAUCCAUCCAAGAACACACACAGCCAUACGGAAAUUUCUCCACUACCGCAAGAACAGUAAUAUCACAGCAGCACACCCAGAUAGAGAAACGAGGAACUAGAGGGAGAAAAUAAGUGGGAAAAUCAAGAAACGUACCGCCGAAGUGCCGCCUUCUCCUCCUCUACAGCUAUCUCCCACAACUUCUUGAACCCGAAACAAGAUCUGACAAAGACGAAAAGGAAACCAAGCAUGAUCAAAGAUGGCACACCACAGUUGCAAUUGCAAGUAGGAAAAGCAGAGAGACCUGUCACCUGCCAGAUCAAAACAGGGGAGCACGCCCCCAACAAAAAGAGACGAAAUGAAACCAGACCAAGGCGCAAGAGGAGCAGAGUUACCUGAAGGCUAGGAUGAAUCGCUUGCUCGACGAAGCAAGCAGAGGCCGCAGAGAACCUGCCCCAGAGGCUUCUUCUCCACUAGGCUCUGGCUCUCUGAUGUGUGGGCAGCGUUACAAAUGCGCACAACUACACAAGUGAGCAACUCUCGCCUUGUCCUUUUGAAGCCUCUGCAGCAUCUACCUGAGCGCGGCCUGCCUUUUUGUGAUUUUGUAUCGUCCAUGUCUCGUUUUGUCUCUGCGUUCCCGCCUUAACGCUAGGGAGCCAGGAUCUUCUACUUCAGGACUCAGGACAUAGGAAACGUAACUCAUGGACCCAUGGGCAAAAGCACAAGUACAGAAGCGCUAGAAUGCAUUAGAAUAUGCUCUGUUUGGCAUGGCUCCAACUUCGGGUGGAGCUGCUCCACUCCAGAAUUUCACAUGGAGCCAGCUCCGCUCCAAAACUUCAGAACAAAAAUGGGAUGUUUGGCUAGAUGGGUGCUCUCAGCUCCAAAAAAGAUCGAUUUCAGUGUGGAUUGCCAUUGUUGCCCCCCAAUUAAGGCUCCACUUGUCAUCCUCUCUAUCCCAUCUUCUUCUUCCCCUUUUUCCACUGCACUGUGCCGCACACGGGAGACCCUCCACGGGCGGCGGCGUGGGCGGCGGGCGGCGGGGUGGGCGGCGACGGGCGGCGGGGUGGGCGGCGACGGGGGCGGCGCUGGGCGGCGACGGGCGGUGGGGCAGCUUGGGCGGCGACGGGCGACGACCGGGCGGCGGGCGGCGACGGACGGCGGGGCCGGCCAGCCACGGGGGCGGCGACGGGCGGGGCUCUGGCGGCGAGUGGGGCUCGGGAGAAUAGAAUGAAAUAUUUUUUUGUGUAACCAGUGGUAUUGGUGGGUAAUUACCCACCAACUCCACGAGGAGGUUCAAAAGAGAGGUUUCUGAAGUAGCAAAAGAGGUGCUCCAAAACUCCACCUCCAUUUGCACUACAGCUCCAUGGAGUUGGCAACUCCAUGGAGUUUUGGAGUUGGGGUGUUUGGCUGAAUUUUUUGAUGGAGUUGCUGGAGUUUAGGAGUGGAGCCGUGCCAAACAGGGCCAUAAACCUUUUUGGUAAAUUAUCAUGAAACCAUUUUUUCUAUUCCACACACGCAAAAAAAAGAAAAUUCUUCAAACCAUGUAUAUGCAAAAUCCGUCCUACAUAACCUAGGGUCAAUAUGGAAUAGCCAUGCUCUUUUAGCAUGGGUCUCAGUAUGUUAACAUGUGUAUAAACGUCACAUUCAUCAAGCUAAGCUAUUGUAGUCUUGCAGUAAUUUGCUAUGAAAAACACGGUUUGAGAUAGAAUUGUUUCAAAAAUGGUAUAGCAAAAUACGAGUCUCAGCUUUUUCUCUACAUAUCCAUUUUGUUUAAAAAAACGAGUCCCAGUCAUAGGAUGCUCUUCUAGAUUAAAUAUGAAUAAAGCCGUUUACUGUGAAUUGCAAUGACCUUUCAAAAAGGCUCGGUUCUUAGACGAUGGAAGGUGGGAUGAAGAGCGGCAGCAUUCCGUGCCACUCUCUUCCUCAUGGAGACAAUCAUUGGUCACGUUUCUUUUUUGAAAAAAAGUGUACUUUUCUUCCCUCAAAUAUUGCAAAAGUGUAAUAUUCAUCAUUCAUGUUUCAUUUGGUGCAAAUCAAACCCUUACCUAACUAAACCGGUGCAUUUAUCAUCCCACCUUAAUUCAACAAUGGUUUAGUGUUAUAUAAUAUCAGUUUUGCCCAUGUAAUCUAGUCCCUGCUUAGCAGCGUCUGAUGUUGAGUCAAUCGGUAUAAUAGUUCGGUGUGAAUCCAUUCUGUUGAUUUUCUGAUAAAUUUUUAUGGGAUAAGCAAUUUAGAGGAUUUUUGGUUUUUUUGACUUUAUAUAUUCAACUCAUCAUAUUACACGCUAAGCAUGGAUUAGUCAGAUGAUUGUGCGGCAUAAACCUCCGUUAUAUAGCACUUAACCACUGUUAGAUUAAGUGGGAUGAUAAAUGCACCAAUUUGGUUAGUUAACGGGUUGAUUUGCACCAAAUAAAAUAUGAGAGGUGAAUGUCACACUUUUGCAAUACAUGAGGAUGAAAAAUACACUUUUUCUUUUUUUUAAUGCCACCAUCAUUGGUCAUGUUUGUGGCGCAAUGGUGGGACCUGACGAGGACGGCCUCCUUCAUUUUCGUCCAUCACAUAGUGCGCGGCUUUGCUUUUGUUCCUGUUGCCUGCCCGGGAAAGAAUCUUUUGGGGUUUCAGCACCGUGGACUCCAUGCCGUUCACUGUGUUUACGACUUGUCAAUCGGUGCAAUGACGAGACGCAUAAUGGUAAUGAACUGUAACCUUUUAUGCACGUCAGACAAACAAUGUGAGAACCAUAUGCAUAUGCAGUAUGAUGACAAUAGGAAAAGGAGAAGCGCAGCCGUUCACUGCGUUUACGACUUGUCAAUUGCACCACGAAUAGGAAAAGGUGAAGCGUAGCCGUUCACUGCGUUUACGACUUGUCAAUCGGUGCAAUGACGAGACGCAUAAUGGUAAUAAACUGUAACUCUUUGUGCACAUCAGAUAAGCAACGUGAGAACCAUAUGUAUCUAGAGCAUGAUGACGAAUAGGAAAAGGCGAAGCGCAUGUAGCAGUCAAGCAUCUGAUAGGAACUCAUUUUCCCUUUCUUUUUUUUUUUUGAGCCUCUGAAGCCUGAUGGUAACAGUUUGUAACGACAUGACGAGAUGCAUGCAACUGAUGUGGACAAUGUGGACGAGUAUGACGACUCAUAAAAUAAAGAGAUUGCUGUUUGGAGAUAAUGUAGGAAUUUGUCCGGUGUAGAAUUUUGAGAAAAAAAGAAAACCUGAUGCUGGUUUCCUUGGAGCAGAAAAAUUGCAACAUGGGAGCCAUAGGAGAGAGCUGAUUCCUUUUAGGGAGGCGGGCUGUGGAGGAGCUACAGAUAAAAAUUGGUGUGGGCAUCACACUGCGCCUGACCCCAAUAUUCCUUCCGAAUUCCGAUUGGUGGUUCAGAUCUCAGCAGCGCCGAUCGAUCGAUCGACCGACCUGUAACGGAACCGGGACGUGGACGGAGCAUGCGACCGUGACCUGUGGGGGCUCCAAUCCGUUGCCUCUGUAGUCUGUGCGGGGGCUGCGAGACAAGACGGCAUGCACUGUGCGAGCAUGUUAGCUGCAGCGCCGGUUGUACAUGCCUCCGUCGCCUAUAGCGAACCGAAGCCGGAUAGACGAGAUGGAAUUUUUUUAUUUUUAUUUUUUUUACGAUUUUGCAGAAAUAAAUAGCGGAGGAAAAAAUUAGCAAAUAUAGACGUAUGCCGCCAGAUGAAAUGGCGGUAAAGCUGGAUAGACGAGAUGGAAAUUUUUUUCAUUUUUAUAUAUUUUUUUACGAUUUUGCAGAAAUAAAUAGCGGAGGAAAAAAUUAGCAAAUAUAGACGUAUGCCGCCGGAUGAAAUGGCUACCGCCGUUUCAACCGACGGUAAGAAAAGUUACCGCCAUUUCAACUGGCGGUACAUAUGCAACGAAUAAAAAAAAUCGGAAACGGGGUGUCACGUUAACAACCUUACGACACCGUGGUGCCAGGUCAGCACGCGGAAUAUUAGCAGCCGAGGAGCCCACUGACUUACCGCCGGAUGAAACGGUAGUAGCUGGUUACCGCCGGAUGAAGCAACGGUAACAACCUUCCAUCGAUUCAAACGACGGGAGUGGGAAGAUCCCGCCAGAUCAGUCAACGGUAGGCGUCCCCACCCUUUAAAACGCAAAGAACGGCCGGGACCGAGCCAGAGGUGCGUGCCGGUUCAUUCGGGGAGAAAGAAGAGAAAGUGAGGGAGGAGAGGAGAGGAGGGGAGGGGAGGAGGGUGGAGAUUGAAGCGAAGCUCUACCGGAUUUGCUCUUCGCUUCAGGUAUUAUUUGAAAGCUCGCAGUUUAUCUUAACUUGUAGUUAGUAGAUGUAGUAGUCGAUGUGAUUUAUAAAUGGUGUAGUGUUAAGUAUUAGAUCAAAUCUAGGUGUACAUAUGAGAUAGACAAAUAUUAGUUGAAUUUAGCUUAGUUAUUUUGGUUAAAGUAAAUUUAGCUUGUUGAUUUAUUUAGAUAACUUUAAGAUUAAUAUUAUUGGAAAUGUACGAGUUAUAAUUUUAUAUAGUUAUUCAGAAUGUAGGUAUUUUUGGGAUUAGUUCAAAUUAAUAACAUUUAGUAAUAAUGUCAUUCAGGUCGUGUAUAAUUUUAUAUAGUUUUUCAGAAUGUAGGUGUGAUUAGGGUUAGUUAAAUUUAUUAAUAUUUAGUAAUGAUCUCUCUUGAUGUCGUGUAUAAUGUCGUGUAUAAUGAUAGGGUGAAGUAAAAUUAAUUUGUUGAUAUAUUUAGAUAACUCUAAAAUUAAUACUAUCGGCAAUGCACGAGUUAUAAUUUUAUAUAGUUUUUUAAAUGUAGGUGUUGUUGGAGUUAGUUAAAAUUAAUAACAUUUAGUAAAAAUAUCUGUUCAUGUCGUGUAUAUUGAUAGGCAUGUCAGACAAUUUAUUUUUCCAAGUGUUCUAUGGUCCGAGGGAGGUUAGAUAUGUUUCAGAAAGGGUAGAUUUGUCUGAAUUUAAGUCGUUCUGGAAACAAGUACCAAGAGAAAGAGAGAAGACUUGGGCAUCAAUAUGCAAUUGGCUAUUUAAAUCUUUCAAGCUUGAUAGAGAUCAAGUUGAGCUGUCUGUUAGGGCUGUAGUGAGGUUUCGAACUAAUAUAAUAUUUUAGGAGUUGAUUGUAACAACUCUCCCUAAAUUAAGUGCUUUUAACUAUAAACCAGUGAUAAAUCCCUAAUUAAAGAAGUGAAAUGACCUUUAUAACCCUAAGAAGCUUUUUUUGGAGUUUGAAAUAAAGCUUGAAAUUUUAUAUACAAACUUAAGUUUCUGCCCAAAUGAGAGUUUUAAAACUUUUUAAUUCAAACAUCUUUUGUUAAAGGCACUUUGACUAAUUCGGAGCGGAAGGGAGUCAAAAACAGCAAUCAAAACCGGUUUACUAAAGGACCCUAAAAAUCUCUUAAGUCCUGGAAUUCGAGUUUUCCUCCAUCUUUGCAAGCUUUCAUCUCACAAAUUCCUAUCUAAACUCGAGUCAGGGCCUUAAUGAAAGUUGUAGUACCUCGAGUGUGUUCCAACCUUGUUACACUGACCCAGAUCCAAAUCGGGUCCGAACCUGUUCAAAACCCCGGUCAAAGUGAGGUAAAACAGUCAACUCACCCCUGAUGCCUUAAAAUCUUAAGUCUGGAAUUCCAGAUUUUUGGCUAACUUUGGCAUGAAAUAUCUUCGAAUCCUCUCACAAUCUAAACCGACACCUUCAACAAAGUUCAAAGAAUGUCCAGACUUGAGCAAGUUUGUUUAAAAGAGUUUUGGAAGUUGUGUUGAAAAAUCCGAAGAAAGAUCUCCCAAAAGCUGGUCGGGCUUGCUGCCCGAAGGGAGCCUCGACGCCCGCGCGCCAGAGCACGUUCGCUCGCGCGCCGCGUGGCCGCCGGCCACCGGCAGCUCGCCGGUGCCCUAUCACCAGCGCGACAGCGACAGGACGAAGGCCACGGCGCCCAACCCGCGCCCGCGACAGGACGGGGCGAACGCCGGGCUAGCCAACCGCCGGCCGCGCGCGUGCCGCCUUCCGCCUGCCAUGGCUCUGCUCCGCCAACCCCGUUCCGCCCGUCCGCCGGGAAAGCUGCAAUGCCCACGAUGUCCCGCGCCUCCGCCUGCUCGCCCAACCCCCACGGUAGCCCUCCGCCUCGCCCGCCCGACAGACCGGAAGCCCCAGACGCGCGCCACCCAAGGCCAAUCGCCGCCGAAGACCACCCGGAGCUCCGCCUCCUCUGCCCAAUGGCGCCGCUGGCCAAUGAUCGCCUUGCCCAUGCACUCGCCGCUCCCGGCCUUAUCCCUUCCCCAUCGGAGCCCCGCCUCGACCCUCUGCCCCACCCCGGCCGUAUAAAAGGAACCCCCUCACCGGCAAUGCCACCCCUUGCCACCGCCCGCACCCGCGCCACCGCUUUCUCCUCUGCGCCGCCGCUGAGCUUCCGUGGAGCUCACCCCUCUGCGCCACCCCGCACUCCGGCGACUUCGCCGCCACACUCUUGAGGAAGUUUCCCUCUCCGCUCAAACCGCUUCUCCCACAUCUAUUAUACGUGCGCAGGUUCCGUAUGUUAAUGCAUGCGAAGGAUGGUAUGGUUCGAUUUCAACGAGCCUAUCAUCAUGGUUGUUCGCCCACGUUUAUUAUACGUGUGCAUGAUUCCGCAUCACGAGAAUGCGAAGGGUUAUAGGAGUCCAUUCAAAGGAACCUAUUUCCACGGUUGUUGCGCUGUCCAUGCAGCGUUAAAUGCAUGGGUGUCGUUUCUAUAGUGAACGGUAAUGAUUGUGGACGCUUUCCUGAGUGCUAGCAUGGAAGGUUCAAGCUGUGAUGUGUUUUUCUGCAGGUACACUAACAACGUUGCGUUCGAAACGAUGCCUAGUAACUCGACUAGUUAUUAUAGUGAGAGUUGUAUUGUUGCCUUGCCACCGGCACUAACCACGUAAGUCCAAAGAUUUUUGGCAAUUAUUUUUGAUUGAGAGGACCACUAGGACGUGCAUGCAUUAAGAAAUAAAAAUCGCAACCUAAGGAAAUAAAAACCAAACUCGAGUGCGUCGUAAAAAGAAAUGCACCACGUUAAGGAUUGUCUAGCUGUCCUUUUUUCCGCCAUGCACGGUAAAAUUAAUCUUUCAGGUGGAUCCGCAUGAUAACUCUAGAAACUUUAUAUAUAAGAAAGUUGUGUUAAAAUCUCCCAAGUAAACUGCUGAAAAAUUUUCACAAGGUACUACCAUUUGGGUUGAGAGUUGUGAUCAGUUUUGUGACCCCCUGUUAGCUGUUAGCCCUAAGUGCACACCAGCGGAGUUUCUUCUGUUUCGACCACCUUAAGGACCUUUUCUGUGAGGAGUCCUUUAAGCAAAGUUUUUCAUAACUUAGUAAAGGACUUACUGGUAGAAUUUCAGCUUUGUUAGGUCUCUGGUUUGGAAGUUAUGUUCAGAUUAUCUUGGCUUGAUCUGAAAAAUUCCAGCAUGUACACUUAAUGGAAAUCUGAGAUUACCACCUUGUUAGGUUCUGUCCUAGCCCUACCUUUGAAUACCAAACUUGUUACACACAAUCUAAAGAACAUGCUGGUAAAAUUUGAGAAAUUUUGGAGGAAUACUUGCUGAGUUAUGAGCUUUCUCUAACUGCUAGAAAUCUGUUUGAUUUCCAAGUGUUAAUUCUGUUUCUCACUUGACCUUUGGUUACAGAUGGCGCAGCCCGUGCACAUUGCAGUCGGUACGGAUGGCACCACCUACUCACGGUGCCUUCACUACGAGGGUUUCCCAGCUAUGUUGUGGGACACUCUGCGCUCUUUCGGGUACCAGUCGCCGCCGGUCUAUGCGGGACGUGCGUACCAGGACCACGGGAUUCCGCGGAGCCGCGUGCACGUGCGGGUACCCCCGCCUCCGGAUCAGCCACAAUGGCCGCUGUUGGAGGUGGUGGCCGAGGGACACACGCUCCACGACACCUGGGAGUUUGCAGCCUUGCAGACCUUGACACAGUUCUGCCGGGCACACCCUCUUGAGAUCGUGCUGGACCCGAUUGGGUUGUUCCCUGCCCGGGAUACGAGGGACCCGGACUGGUUGGAUCGUAUGGAGCAUAUGGACUUGCUCGGGCUUAUUGAUCCACAGUGCACGAUUUUUGUUUCAGCUCGUUGCCUGAACGUGUUCUACAGGAUGGUUGAGCUGCAGAGUCGAGCGAUGGCUUUGGUGAUCGGGAUGGCAGUGGCCAACCAGGUUGCCUUGUCUACCGUGCAGAGUGGCAUGGUGGACCAAUCGCUCGAGCUGGUACAGAAGGAUGUCCAGAUUGGUGAGAUGCAGGAAAAGAUUACUCGUUUGGAAGAGGAGAUUGUGGAUAUGGAGCACGAUAUGGAGAUCUUGGCUGACCAGUUCUAUGAUGUGAACAUGGAGCUGGCGAACACCAAUGAGCACCUGCAGGAGCAUCACGAUGAGCUUAAUGCCAUCCACGCCUUAGAGGUGCAGCAGGAUGAGCCGAUGGCCCAGGAGGAGGAGCCCGAGGAGAUCGAAGGCUUUUCGAGCAUGGACUAUGAGGAUGCCUCUCCGCAGCCUCCAGUUGGUGAUGCUCACUCUCCGGUCCUUAGCUUUGCCUCCAUGGGCAACCUCGACGACUUCUAGUUGUGUUGGCUGGUUGUUGAGCAGUUCUCUUUUGUUUUUACUCCUCGACGACCUAUAUUUUGGCCAGUGAUGUAAUAGGUUAGCUUGAGUUGAGUAUUUGGGUAUUGGAAAAAAAAACUGAUUCUAUGUAGGAUUGUCAUUGCUACCUCUGGUGUAAUGUCUGAAAAUUAUGGUAGAAUUGCAGUGACGGUUUCUCCUCAAUUUUACCCCUGUCUCCACUCGUUUUUGAGCCAAAGCUCGUGUACCAAAGUUGUGCGAAAACUUCUAUCCUAGCUACUCGUAAAGUUUCAACUCCUUCGGAUCUGUCAAACGCCCGCUAGAGCCAAAAUCCCACUGCUCAGCUUGCUGAAAAAUCAAUUGGACAGCAACCUGCUAGAACAUCUAAACGACCUCUUUCCCUUCCUUUUCGGUCAACAAGCAUAACCUGAAGGUGGUUGUGAACAACAUAUACUAACCCUCGCUUAACGAUGAGAACCAUGUGCCCUUCAAAGAAGAGAUAUGCAAAGUUGAUUGUUGUUUUUGCACCAUCAGCAAGACUAGCUUUUAUCCUUUCCGCACAUAAUGUUUCCUUAUGGUUAAACAAGAUUUUGGGGCUAUGUGACUAAUGGAAAGGUGAAUCUUGCAGAUGGCGCAUCGCACACGCUCCGGCUCCGUUCCCAGUGGCAGCGAGGUGCCUCCCCCACCUCCGCCUCCGACCACCCUCGAGUCGAUCUUGGCAGCUCAAACCAAGCUGUUGAGGCACAUCGCUCAGGGGCAGCAGCAGCAGCCGCCCCAGGGAGGAAGGGCCCAUCAACAGCCCCAUGUUGCUCGCUACGAGGAUUUUCUGGGGACCCAGCCUCCUCUGUUUCACAAGACGGAGGACCCGCUUGACACCGAUGCCUGGAUUCGCGCUAUCGAGUCCAAGUUCUCCCUUCUCACCGCCCAUUGCCCGGAUGAGAACAAGGUUCGAUUCGCCGCGCAGCAGUUGCGUGGUUCUGCUCUCCUGUGGUGGGAUCAUCACCACGCCAUGCAGCCAGCCGACCACGUUGUCGGUUGGGAGGAAUUCAAGACGGCGUUCAGGGGCCAUCACAUCCCUGAGGGUCUUCUGGAGCGCAAGCUCAACGAGUUCCUGGCUCUCACCCAGGGAGGCCGCGAUGUCCUGCACUAUGCGCAGGCUUUCAAUGACCUGUGUCGCUAUGCAGGCUAUCAUGCGGACUCCGAUGAGAAGAAGAGAGACUGCUUCCGUAGAGGCUUGAGUUUGGAGCUCAAGGAAAGGCUGAAUCCCAUCAAAGUGGAUUCCUACAAUGAACUGGUGAACCUGGCAAUUUCCCAGGAAGAUUGCAUGAGGUCCCUCAAGGCCGACAUGAAGAGGAAGGCCCCAAUGCCGGCACCCGGCCCGCCUGCCCAAAAAUACAGAAUGGUUCCCCCACAAGCGCCUCGCAGGCCCGCACAGCCUGGGAGAUGGGUUGCUCGACCUCCACCGCAGGCAGCACCUCAUUUCCCUGGAUUCCAGCCGCAAGGGCCCCGACCUGCUCUUCCGAUGCCGCCGCGCCCAGUCACUGGAAACCGCUGUUUCACUUGCGGGAACCCAGGACACUUUGCCAAGGACUGCCCCCGCAACAAGAAUCAACGACCCGGUCAGAGCAAUGCACUAGGAAACAAGGGGAAGAAGCCGAAGGUUCAGGUCCGACAAGGCCGGCUGAACUUCACCACCCUUGCUGAACUUCCAGAGGGCGCACCAGUGAUGACGGGUACCUUUUCUAUCUAUAACCAACCCGUCCUUAUUCUGUUUGAUUCAGGAGCAUCUCAUAGUUUCAUUGGGACUAGAACCAGUGCUAAGUGUGGGUUAGAUUUCUGUCACACCAAAGGUACCUACAUAAUCUCUACCCCGGGUGGAAAGGUAGCUUCACACCAAGUGAGCCGCAGAGUACCUAUCCAGUUAGGGAGAACCCUUCUUAAGGAAGACCUGCUUACCCUUGGGAUAGAAGGAAUAGAUGUUAUCUUGGGUAUGGAUUGGAUGACCCGACACCGAGUGACCCUAGAUAUCCGUGCCAGGGCAAUCCAUAUAAAUUCACCCAAGUAUGGUAGCUCAACUAUACACUUACCUCCCCGAGAGUGCCAAACUUCUUGUGCCUAUCCCGUGUCUGAAGCCCGAUUGGAAGAUAUUCCAGUGGUAUGCGAGUAUCCGGAUGUGUUUCCAGAUGAUUUGUCGGGUAUGCCGCCUGAGAGAGAUAUCGAGUUUGCCAUUGAGUUGCAACCAGGUACUGCCCCAAUUUCAAAGAGACCAUAUCGGAUACCACCAGCCGAACUGGCAGAAAUGAAAACUCAGUUGCAUGAUUUGUUGGAAAAGGGUUUUAUUCACCCAAGUACAUCACCUUGGGGUUGCCCCGCCUUGUUCGUGAAAAAGAAGGACGAUAGUCUGCGUAUGUGUGUGGACUACCGACCUCUCAAUGCGGUGACGAUAAAGAACAAGUACCCACUACCCCGCAUUGAUGUUCUGUUCAAUCAGUUGGCUGGAGCUAGAGUGUUUUCCAAAAUUGACCUCCGUUCUAGCUACCACCAAAUCAAAAUCCGCCCGUGCGACAUUCCAAAGACUGCCUUUUCUACACGAUAUGGACUCUGCGAGUACUUAGUCAUGUCAUUUGGGCUUACUAAUGCACCGGCUUAUUUCAUGUAUCUCAUGAAUUUGGUGUUUAUGCCCGAACUCGACAAAUUCGUCGUGGUAUUCAUUGACGACAUCUUGGUGUACUCGAAGAAUGAAGAAGAACAUGCAGAACACCUAUAUACUGUACUCCAACGUUUGAGAGACCACCAACUCUAUGCCAAAUUCUCUAAGUGUGACUUCUGGCUGGACAGUGUUAAAUUCUUGGGACACACCAUAUCCAAAGACGGUAUAGCAGUAGACCCAAGCAAAGUGCAAGAAGUAAUGGACUGGAAGCCGCCCACUUCAGUUCAUCAGAUUCAAAGUUUUCUUGGUUUAGCCGGUUACUACCGUCGCUUCAUCCCUGACUUCUCAAAAAUAGCUAAGCCAAUGACGGAACUGCUGCAGAAAGGAAGUAAGUUUGUGUGGAGCGACAAAUGUGAAGAAGCUUUCCACACCUUGAGACAAUUAUUGACUUCUGCGCCAGUUUUAGCUCAGCCAACACCACUAGGCCAUUUGACGUGUAUUGCGAUGCCUCUGGCACUGGACUUGGUUGUGUUCUUAUGCAAGACAGCCGAGUCAUUGCCUAUGCCUCACGAGCGUUACGACCACAUGAGUUGAAUUACCCUACUCAUGAUCUCGAGUUAGCAGCAGUCGUUCAUGCUCUGAAAAUAUGGAGGCAUUAUCUCAUGGGAACCCGAUGCAACAUCUAUACAGAUCACAAGAGUCUUAAGUAUAUAUUCACUCAAGCAGACCUCAACAUGCGCCAGAAGAGAUGGCUAGAAUUAAUCAAGGAUUAUGACCUAGAAGUCCUUUAUCACCCAGGUAAAGCCAACGUAGUUGCAGAUGCCCUCAGCCGCAAGAUCCAUUGUAACUGCUUAUCGGCGGUUAAUUAUGCCGAGACCCUGUGUCACGAAAUGGCUAAACUCAACUUGGAAAUUGUUCCCCACGGCACCUUAAGUCAUAUUUCUCUGGAGCCCACCCUGCUUGACCAAAUAAUUCUAGCACAGCUAGAGGACAAAGAGAUAAACCUUAUCAAAGGGAAACUUGCACAAGAGGAUGAGGGAUAUAAACGUUUCCGACAGGAUUGGAAAGGAGUGGUACAUUAUGAAGCUCGACUUGUAGUUCCAAAUGAUCCCGAGCUUAAGAAACAAAUUCUGGAUGAAGCACACCUUUCCAAGUUCUCGAUUCACCCCGGUAGUACCAAGAUGUAUCACGACCUCCGACAAAAUUUCUGGUGGAGUGGGAUGAAACCCGACAUUGCACGAUAUGUUUCAGAGUGUGAUACCUGUCAGCGAGUUAAGGCAAGCCACUUAAGGGUAGCUGGCCCCUUGCAGCCGCUGCCUAUUCCCUCGUGGAAAUGGAAAGACAUAAGCAUGGACUUUAUAGUCGGACUACCCAAUACCUCCCGCAAGAAUGACUCCAUAUGGGUUAUAGUAGACCGACUAACCAAAACAGCACAUUUCCUUCCAGUACACACCACCCACGCCAUACAGAAAUAUGCAGAACUGUACCUUGAUCGGAUUGUUUCCUUGCAUGGUGUACCUAAAAUGAUCAUCUCUGAUCGAGGUAGUCAGUUUGUAGCACGCUUUUGGGAGCAGUUGCAGUUUUCACUUGGCACUAAAUUGAUCCGUAGUUCCACAUAUCACCCUCAGACCGAUGGGCAAACUGAAAGGGUUAAUCAGAUUUUGGAAGAUAUGUUAUGUGCCUGUGCUAUUCAUUAUGACAAGAACUGGGACAAGUGUUUGCCAUUAGCAGAAUUUUCCUACAACAAUAGUUACCAAGAUAGCCUGAAAAUGGCACCUUUCGAGGCCUUUUAUGGACGUAGAUGCCGAACCCCACUAAGCUGGUCGCAACCCGGAGAGCGAACGGUGUAUGGACCUGACCUGGUCAUGGAGGCCGAAGAAAAAGUGAGAGUUAUCCGCGAAAAUCUCAAGGCCGCCCAGUCUCGACAGAAGAGCUAUUCCGAUCAAAGAAGAAGACCCAUCCAAUUAAAGGUUGGGGAUUUUGUAUACCUACGGGUUUCACCGACCAAAGGCGUACAACGUUUUGGAGUAAAGGGAAAGUUAGCUCCGCGCUAUAUUGGCCCCUAUGAGAUCGUAGAGGUGUGUGGACCCGUAGCGUAUCGAAUUAAACUUCCAGAGAAGAUCGCAGCGGUACACGAUGUUUUCCAUGUCUCGCAACUCAAGAAGUGCAUCAGGAUUCCAACUGAAAUCAUUGCCCCGGAAGAAUUAGAGAUCUAACCCGAUUUAUCAUAUAAGGAGUAUCCUGUUAAGAUCCUCGACCGGAAGGAAAGGCAUACUCGUCGGCAGAUGGUAAAAAUGUACCAAAUUCAGUGGAGUAACCAUACGGAAGACAAAGCGACAUGGGAGACGGAAGAGUAUCUCAACGCUAACUUCCGCGGUUUUCUUUUCGAUCAGGGAGGUACGUUGCACCAGCCACACUAGUUCUUUCUGCACUUGAAUCUCGGGGCGAGAUUCCCUUAAGGGGGGGUAGGCUGUAACAACUCUCCCUAAAUUAAGUGCUUUUAACUAUAAACCAGUGAUAAAUCCCUAAUUAAAGAAGUGAAAUGACCUUUAUAACCCUAAGAAGCUCUUUUUGGAGUUUGAAAUAAAGCUUGAAAUUUUAUAUACAAACUUAAGUUUUUGCCCAAAUGAGAGUUUUAAAACUUUUUAAUUCAAACAUCUUUUGUUAAAGGCACUUUGACUAAUUCGGAGCGGAAGGGAGUCAAAAACAGCAAUCAAAACCUGUUUACUAAAGGACCCUAAAAAUCUCUUAAGUCCUGGAAUUCGAGUUUUCCUCCAUCUUUGCAAGCUUUCAUCUCACAAAUUCCUAUCUAAACUCGAGUCAGGGCCUUAAUGAAAGUUGUAGUACCUCGAGUGUGUUCCAACCUUGUUACACUAACCCAGAUCCAAAUUCGGCCCGAACCUAUUCAAAACCCCGGUCAAAGUGAGGUAAAACAGUCAACUCACCCCUGAUACCUUAAAAUCCCAAGUCUGGAAUUCCAGAUUUUUGGCUAACUUUGGCAUGAAAUAUCUUCGAAUCCUCUCACAAUCUAAACCGACACCUUCAACAAAGUUCGAAGAACGUCUAGACUUGAGCAAGUUUGUUUAAAAGAGUUUUGGAAGUUGUGUUGAAAAAUCCGAAGAAAGAUCUCCCCAAAGCUGGUCGGGCUUGCUGCCCGAUGGGAGCCUCGACGCCCGCGCGCCAGAGCAUGUUCGAUCGCGCGCCGCGUGGCCGCCGGCCACCGGCAGCUCGCCGGUGCCCUAUCACCAGCGCGACAGCGACAGGACGAAGGCCAUGCCCAACCCACGCCCGCGACAGGACGGGGCGAACGCCGGGCUAGCCAACCGCCGGCCGCGCGCGUGCCGCCUUCCGCUUGCCAUGGCUCUGCUCCGCCAACCCCGUUCCGCCCGUCUGCCGGGAAAGGUGCAACGCCCAUGGCAUCCUGCGCCUCCGCCUGCUCGCCCAACCCCCACGGUAGCCCUCCGCCUCGCCCACCCGACAGACCGGAAGCCCCACACGCGCGCCGCCCAAGGCCAAUCGCCGUCGAAGACCACCCGGAGCUCUGCCUCCUCUGCCCAAUGGCGCCGCUGGCCAAUGACCACCUUGCCCGCGCACUCGCCGCUCCCUGCCUUAUCCCUUCCCCACCGAGCCCCGCCUCGACCCUCCGCCCCACCCCGGCCGUAUAAAAGGAACCCCCUCAGCGGCAAUGCCACCCCUUGCCACCGCCCACACCCGCGCCACCGCUUUCUCCUCUGCGCCGCCGCUGAGCUUCCGUGGAGCUCAUCCCUCUGUGCCACCCCGCACUCCGGCCACUUCGCCGCCACACUCUUGAGGAAGUUUCCCUCUCCGCUCAAACCGCUUCUCCCAACCCACCAGCCGCCUGUUCCUCCGCGCGGUACUAGAGCUUGCUAGUUGUCCACAUGAAGCUCCGCCACCGCCGGAGCACCGUCGAAGCCUCGCCACCGCCCAAGCCUUAGUGCGUACGACCUUCCGCCCAAGUCUACUCCUUUUCGACCCCAAGGCUUCACCGGUAGACCUGGAGGUAAGCCGCCGACCCCUUUUUUUCGGUUCGCCCGACCCCUUUCUGUUCGGUUCGCCCGACCCCCUUCUGUUCGGUCGCUUGACCCCUUUAUUUUCGUCUCGCCCGACCCUGUCAGUUUUGCCGACCUUUCCCCGCCUCGCCCGAGGGCUCGGCUGUAUCUUUUUCUUUGACCCGAGGGUAUCGGUGAAUUUUUUUUUCAGGGAUUUCUCUGUGUUGAGUCUGAGGACCUCGGUAUGGUUUUUCCUUAAAUCUGAGGGUCAGACCAUCAGUUUCUCCAAAUUCGACCCUUUUAUCCUGUUCUCCACCAACUGAAGUUGGACUCCCCAACCUUUCCUGUAGCUUUGCUACAAGUGUCUGAGUUAAAACAUGCGAGUGUGUUGAAAUAAUCAUCUAAAAUGUUUAACCCCUGCAUUGCAUUUCCGUGUAGAGUUAAAUCUCGCCGACGGGACUUACGAGCUCCACCCGGCACCGGAAGAAGACCCCGCUGAGGAGCUUCACCCCUUCGAAGGAGAGCCCGAACCGGAGCAAGACCCCGAGGACCCACUAACUUUUCCUGAAGGCAAGCCCCGGUGCAUGAAUUCCCUGUUUUACUUUUAUGCCACUUAUUGAUGCUUAUGAUUGUGCAUUUACGUUGGUAGGAGUUGAUUGGAACCGUAGAUGCAUAAACUUAGUACCUUGAUUUGAAUACUAGUUGCUAAGGUCAAGUAGUUGCAAUGCUUAAUAGGUCCCGGUAAAAGUCGAGUGAUUUCCUGUCACUCGCGAGUUAUAGGAGUUGAAUGUUUCAGUUAUAUCGCAACUAUAAGGAUGACGGACGGGGUCAGGCUUAUGUUCGAUACUUGGUGGAUUGCCCCGUCUGUCUAAAUGAAAAUGGACUAAGGUCGAAACGUGUCGACGUUCGUGAUCAAGUGUUUGAAAGUACUAAUCUUAUACCUAGUAUGGGAUGGGGAAGCCUAGUACCUGAUUGAACUGGGACGUGGCAUACCCUCCGGCUGUCCUUGGAACGUCGUUCCCAUGGUGCAUCAUGUGGGUGCAAGUGCGGUCACAGUGCAGCAAUAGGCCGGGACUGUGGAGCAUUGCACGCCAAAGGUAGUUGGCCCUGACACGUGCCUAAGGGAUCGAUGGGGAUGGCUGACAAAUGAAGCGACCCUUCGUGGUGCGCGGAUGUCGUGAGAUUAGGUUUUCCAUGCAUGGUUAAUAAAUUCGAAUCGAUUCGUCUGCCUCUCACAGUUUGGGACUACUUGAUCGCUAUUCUGCACUGAGUAAAGAUGGAACAUGAUGAUGAUAUUAAUCUUGAUGCUUGUUCUUUAAUUGCUUGGACAUCAUGCUUGUUUAGUAUAAGUUGCUAAUCUAGACUGGAUAAAGAACAUAGAACAUGAGCUAAAAUGUUGAAAGUAAGGACUGACUUUAGACGCUUUUGGCAAAGAAAACCCCAGAGCCAGAAAGCCUUGCAUGUCUAGGUCUUGGUCGUGUUUUUUUCCCCCCGACGGGUCAGUCUUGCUGAGUAUUAGUUGCUCAGCCUUGUUGUGACUAAUCUUUUUCAGGUAAUGUCAAUAGUUUGGUUGCUGGUACCACUUGGCCUACCCAGCUCCUUACAGGCUGGACAGUCGAGUGGGAUCCCUCCUCGGACGGCGAAGGAAGGAAUUUUUGAUGUCAUGAUCGGCUCCGUCGUGAUGUCAUGUAUCGACGUUUGGCUUCCGCUAGUUUUAUUUGACUUUCAAACCUCGCUUUUCGGUCUGAAUUUCGAAAACUCUGAUGUAAUAAAAUGUUGAACUAUGUUGUUGUGAUGGAAUGUUGUAACCUCUGUGCUACUCACCUUCGCGUGAGCGAUGCUUCUCAAUCCUGUUUAUGUGGUUAAUCGGAUGAAUCCGACGGUCGACCAAGUUGACUUGCUUAAAGUGCAUAAUCGCGUGUCAGGUGACUUCAAUGCAUUUUAGUCAGGUUAAUUUGGGCGGUUCCGCCACAUUGAUGCCGCUUGAAGGAACCCAGAACUGGAGGGCCUAUGUAAAUGCUGCUACUGAGCGCGAUUUACCACUGAUAUUGUUUUGUUGAAGUGUUCUAGAAGAUUGGAUCUAGCAAUCAGUUGCAAGAAGAAGUUGGUGGUGGGGAAGUUAGAGGCGAGGAAGGCCUGGAGAUUAUCGAUGGGCAAACUGAAAAAGAUACUGAACAUGGGGUAGAAGAAGAAGAUGCAGAGGAUGCACCCCAUGAGCCAAAUGGCGAUGCUGAUGAGGGGGAACACAUCCCUGGGUUAGUUGAGUAGGUAGAGAGGGAAGGAGAAGAGCAUCUUCAUGCCAUGGAUGAUGACUCGUCAUAUAAGGAUGCUAAUCCUAUCCUGCAGAACUGGUCAAGUUAUGACCAUUCAAACCUAGCAAUAAAUGAAGGGGAAAAUAUUCUUGGGAGUACAGGAAGAAUGAGCUUUGUGUCGGUGCUUUGUACCCUAGUGGGGAUGAGGUGAAGACAGCUAUAAAGCGAUGGUCGACUUUAUCUUUGCAAUGGCAGUUCAAGAUGGUGAAGAGCAGCCGGACAAUAUAUGAUGCGUGUUGUGUCAGAAGCAAUUGCCCGUUUAGGGUGCACGCAUACAAGGGCAAGUGGAAGGAUUACUGGGAGGUGACUAGAUUGGUGGAGCAUGAAUGCGUGCUAGAUGAAUUGGAAGCACAACACCGCAACCUCACUGCUGAUUUUGUUGCUCAAUACAUGUAUCCUCAGGUAGUCGAGAAUCCUAGCUAUGAGCCCAAGUCAAUUAUUUGUGCUAUAGAGGAGAAAUUUAAGUACAAAAUUAGCUACAGCAAGGCUUACCGAGCCAAACAGAAGGCGUUAGAGAUGAAGUGGGGUACAUACAAAACAUCAUAUGAUAACCUCCCUGCUCUAUUGCACAUCAUAUGCUAGAGGAAUCCAGGAAGCUACUGCGACCUGAAAGCCUAUCCCUGGGCUCAGAAUCCAGGCAAACAGGUUCUGCAGCGGUCAUUCUUGGCCUUGGGUCCUUGCAUUGAGGCUUUUUAGUGAUGUCGCCCAGUCAUUUGCAUUGAUGGCACGUUUUUGAAUGGUAGGUAUAAAGGCACAUUCUUGACAGCUAUUGGGUCCGAUGGUAACAUCCAGGUGUUGCAGCUGACGAUCAUCUUUGUGGAGAAAGAGUCUGUAGAUAGUUGGUAUUGGUUCUUGAAGAGGGUUAAGCAGAUGAUUGUGAAGGAUGUGGAGGCCAUUUGUAUGAUUCAUGAUUGGCACAAAGGCAUUCUACGAGCAAUCAAAGACCUACUAAAUGGCAAUAUGGAACGUCACAGGACAACGCAGUGGUCAGACUUGAAGAGUAGGUGGUGCAUGAGGCAUACGGAGGCAAACUUUCAUAGCCAAUUCAAAAACAAGAUCCUUAUGAAACUGUUUAAAUGGCUACGUACCCAGAAUCAGGAGAGGAAAUUCAAUCUACUUUGGAAGAAACUUCAUGAGCUUACAGAGAAACAAUCUGAAGAGCUAGGUAAGAGGCCGGUAAACAGUGAGGUGGACCACCCUGUGUCUCUAGAGGAUGUCGGACUGGAUGGUACAAAUGUCAGGCGAAGACGGGGUAGGUCCAUUAAGACAUUCUCACAGUGGAUUGAGCAUGAGCCAAAGGAAAAGUGGGCAUUACUAUAUGACGAGGGAGGUGCUAGGGACUGCCCCUUGUUGGUAUCGUGGAAUUAUUUUUAUACCGCACCAUUAAUUAUUUCAGGGAUCGGUACGUGGUGGCCAAUAAGUCAAUAGCCAAUAAUCAUAAAAUUUAUGGAUACAAGAUGACAGAGUACAUGGACAAGGUGAUACAAAAGAGCAUCGUGAAGCUUUCCCUCUAAGAAAUGUCAUCGUGGAGGGAUGACCAAAAUGGAAUUCUACCGUGGAAUGGGCACCCCAAAUGCCACUGCGGCUUCCGUGUGUGGUUGCAAGUAUGGGAGGAUCGAUUACCUCAAGGAAAGAAGGGGUAUAGGUACUUCAAGUGUCCUAACAUUGAUGGUGAUUUCAAGGUCCGUCCAUUCAUAAACAUUUUAAAUAUGUUUUCUAUGUACCGGUAACUAACUAAUCAUGAAUCAACAUGCAAGCUUGCACAUUUAUGGAAUGGAUCGACAAUAGACCUUUAGGGGAAGUGGGCAUAAUCCCAGUGGAGCUAGAGACCAAAGGCCAAUACUAUACUAGGCUGGAAGAGGCUCGAGAGGCAGCAUGUCUUACUCGGUUUGAGCAAGAACGACGCAUCCGCCAACAACAGAUCCGUUUGAAGGGCAAGGAGGAUGAACUGCAGAGACAGUGCGAGCAGUUAGAUGCUUGAGAGGCAGCACUGAAAUGGCAGGAGGAAUAAUUCAAAGCUCGUCAGGUGCAACUCCUACAAGAAAAAGAGCGACAGAAGAACUUGAAGAAGCAGGAUGGAGAAUGUUCCUCCAAAACAGCAAGGAUGGGGAAACUUCCCCGGUUCACUCAGUAGAACAUUAGUUGUGAUCCACCAAUUUACAUUACCUAAGACAUUCUAUCCUAGGCAAGGUGCUUUUUAGGUUUGUCAUAUUGGGCGCCUCACAUGCUAUUGUACUGUUGUUUGUACUGUGAUAACAUUUCGUCUUGAUGCUUUAAGUACUCAGAUUCCACCCUAUUGCCACUAUACUGCUCUGCUGCCAGUAUAGUACUCAAAUAGUGCUAAUCCAUUGUUGACGUGAACCGUCACUAAAAAGCCUACACAAUACACUGCAAGGAUCCUAAACGUGAGCCUUCUCAGGCAGAUGGGACUCCACACUGAGCCCUACGUUCCUGCACCUACAAAGCCUAUAUCUAAGCUUUUUCAGGAUGAUUGAACACAACGGGGUACUAAACAAAUGGAGGCACAAUGCAUCUCCAUCUUAACACUUCCUAUAUGAACCUCCCUCUCCCGUAUCCUUCCACACCACUGAGUAGGAGGAAGAACAAUGGCAUCAGCAAGAAAGAGAGGUUGUAGGAGGAGGGGAUGUUCUUAUUCCCACCAUCACUUGGCUAGGUUCUUUUAGCCAACGGAGUAUGAGGAACCCCUCGAUGACUUCACUCUGUAUGAUAGGGCUAACUAUGCCCCUCCAAAAUGCCUUAAACCUUAUGACAACCGCCAUGAUGCAUGGCGAAUGUGUUACCAUGGUGUGGCUUGCGUUGUGCAACUGUUUGAUGGCUACGAUGAUGGAAGCCGGUGUUUCUUUCGAUGCCCGUAUGACUUGGUGAGUUAUCUUAUUACUUCCUUACUCUUGCUAAGCUUUUCGUGCUACAAACUAACAUCAUGUUUAGUCUUAUCUUGAUGAAGGAAACUACCGUUAUGCGAAGUGGGUCGAUCCUUCACUUCCUGAGUCAACCCAAGAGUACAUCCACUACCUUAAGUGCAAGAUCUUUGACCUCGAGCGUAGGGUGGAGGAUCUUCAAUCCGAAGUUGAUGCAAAUCCUUGAGCGGUUAACAUGAUUAACAUCGCAGGUGACUUGAUUUGUACCAAUCCAUGGUGCAAAUACCCCUACCACCACAACAAGGAUCGCCCAUCGUCACUGCCUUCCUCUGGGGGUGCUGGAUAUUAUGAGGCUGGGCCCUCCCAGCUCUCGCAAAGCCAGUUCUACUAGAAAGUAGAGAUGGCUUUAUCCCUGACUAUUUCAAUUACCUAAGGCAUGUUAGGUUUAGCAACGGCAUAUGUUUAAAAUAGCAUCCGUACCGCACAUGCCACUACAAUCUAUAAUUAAUUGUUUAGUCUAGAGUCGAUGUAUUUUAUAGUCGGGAGUUAAUUCAAUUUGCAAUAUUUCAUCGAAGCAUGCUCUCUCUCCAAUUUGGAAGUUUCGUAUUGCAACUAAUAAUGAUAUAUUCAAAUAUUUAGCGCUUCCAACCUAACUUACAUUUUCAUAUCUAAGAAAACAAUCAUGAAAUCAAAAUAAUAAAAUAAAAUUACUAGAACUUAUAGCCAUCUCACAUGACUAUAGCCGUUCCAACUGGCUAUAGGCUUGUCCACCUCUUACAACUAGCGGAAGAAGGUAGGAGGGAUCUUACCGUCGUUUCAAACAGCUAUAGCCGUUUGGACUGGCUAUAGCCGUUUCAAACGGUGGUAAGGGUCCCUACCCCUGCAUCACCGCCACGUGCCUAACCACCGAUUCAAACGGCGGUAUCUAUUUUUAUUCUUUUUGGACUGACCUACCACCAUUUGAAACAGCUAUAGCCAUUUCAUCCGGCUGUAUAGGUCUAGUUCUGCUAAUUUUUUGCACGUGUAUUUAUUUUUGUAAAAUCAUAAAAUACAAAAUAUAGAAAUAAAAAAUCGACGAGAUGGCUUUAAAGCCCAAUACGGCCCAUCAUGGGUCAUCUUCCUCCUCCAGCGCCGCCGCCGCCGUCUUGUCCACGGCUUCUCCUUCCUCUCCGGCCGUCCUCCCUGUGGCGGAACCGCCCAACUUAAGCUGGUUUAAGUGCGUCUAAUCGCUGUCGGAACAGCAAUUAUCCGAAAUGCACCUAAAACAGCAUAAGUCCGGUAGUCCGUCGAGUGUCCCUAGGACUCCUCGAAGGAUCCACGAUGUGUCUCAUAGCCAUACAUCAGGAUAAUAUCCGCGAUGGGGUAAUAUCAACAAAUAUUACAUUUUUACAUACAUAUAAAAGGUACGAGUUAUUACCGAACAUAGAUUGAAACAAACUUAACAGUGCAGUGUUAGACAGAGUUCUAAGAUUUAAACAUAAACAGUUCAGGAGAGGAUGCGCAGGUAAAACUUUUUCUCUAGGGUAUUAUGAGAUUCCGGUCAAUACCCUAGGGCUUCGGGGUCUCCUCCUCUGUAGACUCCUGCGGAGCUUCUGAAAGAUAGCCACAAGGGGAAACCCCUGAGUACGGGGUACUCAGCAAGUCUUACCCGACUACCCAAUAUAAUAGUUUUCUUUGGAAUGCAUGCUAGCUUUUGGGUGUGUUUGGCUAACACAACUUUUGCCGAAAAGCUUACUACGAGUAAUGCCUUAGUUUUAUCUUUUAUUUGGGUUAAGUUAUUACCUAACCAUUCUAAAUGAUAACAGAAAGUAAAAACAACCAUAAAUGUUAAGCCAUACAUCAAAUAUCAACCAAAGGUAUAUAUAUAUAUAUAUUGCAUGAAUUGAUACUACGAUGCUCAACAGUGAUCAAGUGCAUUCAUAACCGAGAAUUGCGGCGAUCCGGAUCUAAUUACAUCCUGCAGGAGAGUACCCUGAUCACCAGUGUUAUACGACUGUCCAGGUCGUAUCUAACAACCUCUCGAUUAGCAAAAUCAAUGAUUAGGAAUACGACUACCCGGACCCAGGGAUGCACCCCCACAUGGGACCCCACGUCUGGCCCGAUCACCAUGUGAGUUUCAGGCUACAUCCCUGCCAAUCUCCAGCACGUCAAGCGCGGGUACGAAGUAUUCCCGAUCAUAGAGUUUACUAACCUACUGGGCUUUACUGGUCCCAUACCCAGUAAGUGAUCAGAUGUUUAUCACUUGAUCAAAGGUUAAGACAACGAAUCGGGCCUUAACCAAAUUAAUCUAGCAGACAGAACUACACCUCUAGUUUCUGUCCGCUUUCAACUUUCUAAGUUAUCUUCCAUAAGCAACAUGUAUGACUUAAAAGUUUUUCCUUAAGGUUGGUAAACCAAGCAUUCAAGCAACUAAGCAUUUCUAGACUUGGGUUAUCUUCUAAGGUUUGAACAAGUGGCAAAGAUGUCCUUAAAGCAACUCCUAGACUUAGUGCAUACAUAUAGCAAAUAACCGAUAAUUGGACACAUGAAAUAACGAUUCCAAAAUAGAUAGGUAUAAAUGCACCGGGGCUUGCCUUGUUCACUUAAAAAGUUAGUAUUCUCUGACGGGUUGGCUUCACAGGGGACUAACUCAAAAACUUCUUUGAACUCCGAAGGUCCUUCUGAAAAUUCCGAAUAUUCUCCUUCUGGUGCUUCGGGAUCUAUAGCAUAAUACAUGCAGGGGUCAGAAAUGCAAAAUUUUGAAUAAAAGACUAUACAACUCUCCUUCAUGAUAAAGUUGCAAGACAACAAGGACUAUACAACCUAUCAUGAUAAAGUUGCAAGCCAACACACAAAAACCCAAAAGAUUAACCCACAAUUUUAUUUUUCUUACUUAACCCUCCUUAUAGCUUUUUCUUUUAUCUUUAGAAAAAGUUAUAAUUAUUUUCUAACUUGAAAAUCUAAUUUCCUAUGAGUUAAGGAUAAUUUGUGAUUAAUAAAAUGUUAUUCAUAUUUUAUACAUUUUAUAAAUAUUAAGUAUUUAUUUAAUUACCUUAAAAGGAAGGCAUUAAAUAAAUACCCGAAUUUUUUUUAUUAUUUUUCUAGGGUGUAAAAAUUUUAAUGCAUAAAGGAAAAUAAAACAAGCCUAACAAAAUUGGUUUCACUAAUUUUGGACACUCCUAGAAAUUUCUGUGAUUAAAAUGGUGUAAAAUGGAUUUAAACUAAUUACUUUCCUAAAGGAAAUCUAAUUUUUUUCCGAAAAACACCCGGAUAAACUUUUCUUACCCAGCCCCACUCUACCCUCUCUCACGCGCACUGGGCCCCACGGCACGGACCCAUCUAUCCUCCUAUUCCUCCUACCCGCCGGCCCCCUUCUCCCUCUGACGGGCCCCGUGGGCCGUUUUUCUUUUUCCUUCUCCUUUUUCGGCCCGACACCGGCCCAACGGCCCUCUUCCCUUUUUCUCCUUUCCUCCGCGAGGCCGACCUGCUUCCCCUAGGCCUCCGGCCUUUUUUCCUUUUUCGGCUGACCGCGCGCGCAUCGCUGGGCUUCAAGGCCGCGGCCCAACAAACGGCCGCGCCUUCCCGGCCUCUUUCUCCCCCUCUCCCUUCUCACUGCCGCGCGGGCCCGAGCGCCCAGACGCUUCUUCCUCCUCCUGCCAAAACACGCGCGUGUAACAGGGGGCGGCGCGACUCGCCGGCCGGCGCCCCACCGGCGGCGAUGCUAGGUCAGGACAGCACCCCUACACCUUCACGCACCCGUGCGCGGCAACAGCUCCUCGGGAGAUGGCCGGAGCCAUUCCCUCCACGGCGGCGGGCGGCGACACCUUCGGCCGGUCGUGACUACUCACGACGACGGCACAACCUACUCAAACAACUACCUUUACACCAUCCUAGGACCCUAAGGACUCGCCUACGACUACUUAAGGAGGAAGAGGAGCAGCGCAAGGUAGGGCUCACCGUGAGCGGGCGGCGCGGCGAUGGCGGACAGAAGCGGCGGCGGUUCAAGGCGUGACGGCGAAGAAGCUGGGCAACAAGUUGCUAAGGUUGCUGGUGGGGUGUAAGCGGAGGUGUGGACGGGAAGAAUCGACGGGAGCUGCGGUGUGGCGGUGGAAUUUUGCUCGACGGCGGUGCUUGACAGAGGAGGUGCUGGCGGCGGUAAAAAGAGCGGCGGUGAAAACGGCGGUGCGGGAGCGGUAGUUAUUCAAGCAUUCACCGCGCGCAUGGGCGACACCGUGGCCUACCCAUAGGCUUAUGUGGUGAGGAGGUGGCCUAGCUAGACGCGCUAGCGAGCGACCGACGACGGCGGCAGCGACACGUCCUGCUGCUCUGUCACCGCUCCUCUUUUCUUCUUCUAACGCCCGUGACUUCAGAGCGAAAUUACGGCCGAUCUUCAAUCCAACGGUCCCCAAGCGCUUUAACAGAAGUUGGAGAUAAACUCAAACCCUUCACUUUUUAUUUUGGCUCUGACCCGAGAUAAUCAUCAAAUACAGUUGAAUUUUGAUUUGUUUCUCGGGUUCCUCUGAAGUUUACUAAAACUGAUAUUCAGUUCGUCAGUCAAUCAAGGUGCUCAUUUGCCCGACUUAGUGAUCCAUUUCGGUGAUCCAAAUUCCCUUCCCGUAGCUCAACUUCUUCCCAAUGAUGUUCUACAACCUCCAAAGUUUCCAUUUUGCCCAAGAACACCUACCCUUCUUGAUCUACAUUGCUUUGAAUUCAAAUUCAAAGUCGACCCUAUGCUGUCGGUUUCAGACUUAACCAUUUUUCAGUGACAGUCAACUGUGACAAUGUGCUGACUUUGAGCUAUAUUUCGAAAUUGUUCUCUUCCAUGUUCCUAGCCAACAACACCCAAAUCUUGUAGUCCAAAGUUCGUACUUCAAUAUGGUAUAGUUGUCCUGAUGCACUUAUUUGGAAAAUUCUUCAAAAUUCAAUUUGGAAAACAGACUCUGCUGCUGUUUUUCUGUGUUCUUAUUUUCAGACGAGGAACAGUAAACUCCAUUUUCCUUUUUCUUUCUUUAAUUUCUCUGAGCUAUUUAGCACCAAUUCUGUUCCAAAUCUUUGAUUCUUAAGUCCUAGUUACCCUUACACUUGCAUUCCACAUUUUUGCCGAAUUUUUCUGAAUUUCAAAUUCAAAAUUCAAAUUUCGGUCAAAUUUGACCCGAAUUUGAUUUUCGGCCAAUUUCUUUUUCUUUUCUUCUCAAUUUGCUUUUUAAUUCUUUAAAGUCACUUAGAUGACUAAAUUGGCAGCUUUUACACUCCCCCACCUCGCCGGACAACCACUUUGUCUCUAGUGACAGCCGCCGCCGGAUCUGCCUCUGUUGCCCCACCAUCGCUAACCGAGCCGUGACAUGACGACCCCCAAAAGCCUCCGCCACCGCGGUCGGCGGCUCCCAUCGCCUUACUGCACCGCCUUGCUCCCAUCCCACCAUCCCAACCCCGCCCAUCCGGUCAUCUCCCGUCAUCCCGGCCGGUGGCUACCGCCGCCGUCUCGCCCGCUACCACUGCCGGGCAAGCCACCCGCCCCGACCUCCUCUUUAAGCCGGCACACACCAAAGAACCCCCAACCCCCACUCCUGAAACCCUAACCUCCCACGAUGGUGGCGGAGCGUCACGCCUGAACGAGCGGACGGGGAAGGGUGUGGAGAAGAAAAUAGAUCGGACGUUCUGUAUCACGCGCACCAAUCUCAAAGAUCGGAAGCCAUAUAAGCUUCCUGGCUUCCGGAAGAUUGCCGCGUCCUAGUGGUGUGCGGUCUGGCCGUCUGGCCCAAUGUGCGCGUGGGCCGUAAGGUUGCGGUUUGUGCCUAUAGGGCUGAGCCCAAUAAGUCUCAGCCCACGGGUAGGAUCCGGUUUCUAGCUGUUGUGCUGUUCAGCGUCGACCGUCGACGCCGUCGGUUGCCCAUGGCCUCUCUGCUAUAUCAACAUACGGUAACAAUCAUGAUGCACGUGCUGUUGGCCACCGCGUGUAUAGAGUAGACUUUACAUGUACGUAAAAAAAUACCAGAGAAAUCUGUUACAUCUCGCUGCAAUGAUUUAUGCACCAUCCUUUUCAACGCGUGUGUGUCAUAUGGAUAGCUAGAUUGAUCCUUGAACACUUUAACGUCCACGGAUUCAUCGAUACAUAUUCUCUUUAUAGUAUAGCGUACUAACUCAAUUUCAAAAUAGACAAUGAAUUUAAAUCUUCCCCUGUACGGCAUACAUCAUGAUCAUUGGGGAUUUGCAGAUCAUACACAAUCACAAGUUUUAUUAUACACCUUGCCACCUGUCCGUAUUCUUAACAUAUUUAUUAGUACUUUGGUUAUGUUUAUCAUUAUAAUCAACCAAACCCACUAGAGAGAGCCUGAUGCACUUUCAACUUUACGUGUGCAUAAAAAAACUUGAGAGAAAUCUAUUAGAUCUAGAUGCAAUGACAUAAGCAUCAUCCAUUCCAUGUUUUUUCAAGGAAACACCCCUUUGAUGUAUAAAACAUUGCUAAUGAUUUUUUUCUUUGAAAUGAACCAGACGGAAGAGCUGCCGAUUAUAUUUAAAAAAAAGAACGAAUCCAGACUAGAUAAAACAACAAACAAUAACAUCGACCGGUUGGAUUGGAACAUCAGCACAGCCACACAGUUCCAUCGAACUACUCAACUCAAAUAACAAUAACGCAGGAUUGGAUUGGGACAUCAACAUGUGCCGCACAACACAAAUCACCACUCUCGAUACAAUGAAACUAUCUCCAGUCGGUUGAAUUGUGACAUCAACACAUGUCGUACAAAGACAUGAUUCCGCCGCAGCUAAACAACAGCACCACCUCCGGUCACCACCAGCUACCACACCGCUAGAACGCCUCACCCGUGAGGCCUGCCACCAGCUCUCUUUUUUUUUUCUUUUUCUUCUUUUAUUAACUUCUUCCUCACUAGCAAGGCAAGCAAGGCAUGAACUUCCAAAGUGACGCCUCCAGGGAGAGGUAUGACGCUGCUGGCGUCACCGUCGCCUGACCAGAUAGUCUAGAUAAACACGGGCAGCACAAGGGGAAAAGGGGCAAAUUGAUAGGCACUUCCAACGAAGUAAACGUCGCCUAAACACGUCACCAUCAUCGGCCUGUAGCAGGCAUGGCUUUCACCAUGAUCCCCGAACCCCGUGCACAGGCUGCCCUCGCCAUACCACGUGAGCCAUUGAUCCCGCCACCAAACUUGGAUGUCAGACUCGGAUGUCCCCGCUGUCACCAGAGGACACCAUGCACGCUGUGAGAGCAGCCGCGGCAACACCACGCACGAUUGCUGAUGAAUUGUUUUUGAGCUGUUGGGAAUGUGAUCAGCAACAAGGCUAGAUUGGUAUGCUUUGCAAGCGCUGUUGGAUGCAAUGCAUUAUCUUUUAUCCUCUAGCCAAGCUCGACUUUACCCUUUUUUUUGAAUUGGGAGUACUGCGGUGCCUCUGGUCCAAGAUGUUGGUCAAUUUUUAGAAAUUAAUAAAUGAAAACGAAUCAUGGAUUGGCCAUGUAAGAUAGGUGCUACUAGAUGUUAGAUACAUGCUACAAGUUUCAUUACAAAUAAUAUUUAAUUAUUGCACCUCGUGGUAUGGGUCAGCAAUUCCAAACAAUGAAUCAAAAAAAAUACUAUUUAAUUUUUUUCGAAACGUAAUAUUUUAAUAUAAAUCGGCCGUCAGAGUGUUAUUUCAAAGACAGCAAAAAUAUCACCUUUGGAUGUUUUCCUUAUUUCUUAUUUUAAUAUCUUCAGGAUAAUUGUCCAUGAAAAUUCAUAUUUUGAAAAGGUGAUGGCAUAGAGUUUUUGUCGGUUGCUGUCGGAGUAUAUGUGCACCACAUAGCUGUAACUGAAACCGUUACGUAUAUUUUGAAUUAGAAAGACAACCACUACCACAGGGGCGAGGAAACCUUCCUGACGGGGAACCGACAGGAACACGACGACAGGGACAGCUACUCAGGAAAGACCAGUUACUCCUGACGGGUGUCUAACAGGAAACAAUUCCCGUCGGCAGCUCCUGACGGGAAGGAACCGGCCGACCAGUUGCAGUUACUGUGGCCGCAACCGACAGGAAUUACCGUCAGGAAACAUAAAAUCGACAGGAACCAAACGUGUUCCCCUGACAGCGGGCCCCGUCAGGAUAGACCUGUUGGCCAACGGGAAUUCAUCAGUGUUCCUGACGGUGUGCACCGAUAGGGAAAACCUCCUGCAUUUUGUAUCUAUUACCAUCAUCAGUUUAAUUCAAAUGGCCCCACAACAUUCAUACAACAUCAAUUUAAUUCAAAUGUCCAGGAUAAGACACAGUACACAUUAAACAUGUCACAUGAGCCAUCCAGAUUAAUUCAAGUAGCACUAACAGAUACAAUCAUCCAAAGUGUCCAUCAUGUCUGGCUAGCACAUAGGCAUAGCAGCAUGCAUGUCCAGCAUGCCCAGCUCCAACACUUUAACCAAGGAGCAAGUCAAGAUCAGUAGUUCAUGAGUCGACUACAUAGGAUGUCAACUGCACAAAACUAGCAAGUCCUACUGCUAGCAAAAGGAGAGGCAUUUUCACUUUCUACCACAUGAUACUACACAAAAAGCAAGUCUUCACAAAAGAAAAGAGGCAUGCUGUACCCUUCACCAUUUCAUUCCAGAGUAGGGUCAUCUUCAUUGUCAUCGUUGCCAUUGCUAGAAGCGUCAUUGCCAUUGCCAGAUGCGCUGAUGCUGUUGCCAGAUGCAUAGUUGCCAUUGCCACAAGCCCUGUUGCCUAAAGUGCCGCUACCAGCACCAUUUUCAGCUUCGGAUGACGACUGACUAACCUGCAAGUAGAUAGAAAUCAAAAGGGUGAAUGGUUGGAAGAACUGCAAUAUAAAUUUGGCUACAUAUGAGAAGCUCAACAUGUCUGAUUAGAUCUCAACUGCUAAAAGCAUUGCACCAAAAAUUUAGUUCCAUCCAGCACACAAUGAUGGACAGUAACAUUUUAACACAAAGAUAGAUUAGAUAUGAACAUGAUGGACAGUAACAUUUUAGACAUACUGGAAUGUGUUUACAACAGUCAAGGGGGGUAAACUAGACCAUAUCUUGGAAUGUGUCUUUAAUUUGACACUGUCAGCAGCAUAUCUUUGAAUCAAAAUUUAUAGUUGAAAGGCCUAAAGCCUCACAGGUACCCAGGAGCUCACGCACAGAACACACACAUACACAGUAGUCUUUUUUGUGCUGCAAUUGCUCGCUACCUUUUCUUUUUUCUUCUCUAUUUAUACGCAGCCGAGACCUACAAUAGGACCUGUAAUUGAAAGCUAAUAGCUACAGCCAUCACUACCUUGGUUGGCUUAUUAUUCUCACUAACUAGCAGCUGGAAAACUGCUAAGUAAAUAGGCUCAGUUCCAGGGCAGAAAGUUGAGUUGCAGCAUGUAACACUAGUGAUCAAAUAAAGUAUUCUUGGACAGUAACACUAAUGAUCCUCUGAGAUAUGCAAUGAUCCUAUUUGCAGCAGCAUGUACAGAACAAGAUCAAAUAAAGUGCAUGGUAGUACUGCACCUGCUCGCUUGAUGGUGCACAAGUAUUUGCUUCUUGCAGAAUGGCGACUAUUUCUUCUAGUACUGACAUGUUCAUCUUGGCAAAAAGAUCCUAACAGUGGCACAAUCAGGAAAUGCUUCCAAGAAUCAUUAGGUGGCUACAAAGUGAGUUGAGGUAACUCAAUUACCGGCAUAUGUUUGCACAAAACUAGACCAAUCUGGUAGCCCUUCUCCAGUUGUGCGUUCCGCCUUACAAGAUAUUGAUAAGACCCCGAGUUUGAUUGUCUUGUACCCCUAGCACUUGCUUUCAUAUCACAUUUCCUUAAAGCGCCAUUUGCUAUUGGCACACGGCCAUGAGCCAAGCCAUUCCUACUACUUGGUACAGGGCAUCAGCAUCAAGCUUCCCAUCAUUCUUACGCUGCUCAAAGUCAUUUGGAUGCAAAGCUUCAAGAGUAGCAAAAUAAUCAUCCUAAUAAAGGAAAAACCUCAAGUUAUCUUUCAGAUCAGGUUAUAAACAUUAAAAUUUUGAAAGGAACAAAGUGUGGCAACUUACAACACGCCUUUGGGCCUUUUCUGUUAGGAUUAGACAGCUUUUGCCAUUGCUAUCACAAUUUUUUACACCUGACUUCAUGCAGCAGUAAGUGUUGAUGUCAGCGGCAGCUUCAGGGUCAUACUUCUUUGCCUUGGACAUAGGAGACGCAAUCAGCAACACAGCGGCAAUAACAAAAUAUAGUAGAAACUGUUGGAUAUAUAAGCACUUUUAGUUUUAAUUUAAUCCAGAAAUAAAUCAUGAAUACGAUGAACAGACAGCAGAUUAAACUAGACAUGUCUACGCAAGAUCUAGACAAGUCUAUCAUGCAAAUAGAAUCACACAUUCUACCAUACUAUCCAGUGCUAUCAGACUACAACAUAUCAUAAUAGCUAGUAUGGAAGACAUAAUUUGAGUUAAGAGAUCGUACGUUUCUUUCUUGAUGAAGACCGGCUCCUGGACGACUACUGGGUACAGCAGCCGACGACGAUCAGCAGCCUGACGUUGUUCGUGACGGCGAGUGAGGCCCGAGCGACGAAGAGGUAGACGAGCCGUGGUGAAGGAGUCGACGAAGAACUUGACGAAGCGGAGGAAGCGAUCGAGCAGUCGCGCAGAGCGCUUCCCAAAAACCUUAUUCGCCCUCUCCCGGUGCAGGAUCGCUGAAGGCGACGGUUCCGGAGACCUGCUCUCCCAAUCGCCGGUGCACGCCGACAAUCGGGAUGGAGUAGACUACGGUGGCGGCGCAGCAGCGAGAGGAGGCAAAAACCCUAGCUCGAAUAGAUUUGUUUAUGGUAGAGGCCGGUAGGUCGCAUAUAUAGGAGAGCCCACGAUUCUCACGUGCCCGCGCCCUUCGCCCGGCCCGGCCCGGCCCGGCGAGGCGAGGCGAGGCGAGGCGAGGCGAGGCGUGGCGUGGCGAGCGAGCGCGCGUGUGUGGAGCUCUUCUUCCCUCCCCACACACAUAGCUUGGAGGAGUGGAGACAACUUCCAUAUUUAAGUUGGUCAUCCCUCCCCUCCACUAGCAAUGUGGGACUAAAGACUUGCACCACUCCACCUCUUGCCCACAUGGGCCUUUGAGAUUUAUUUGAAAUUCUGAAAUUCCUUAUGGGCUAGGCCCAUUAUUUCAACAAUCCCCCACCAGAUCUCAAAUGCCCAUCAGAGAUUUUGCCUGUUUCUCACUGAUGUUUAUAUACUAGUGUUUCGGUGAGGACUGUUAAGUUGAACUCUCGCCUAGAGCUUCAAGCUACAUUCAUCCACAACUUGAACAAUGGACUAAGCCUUGAAUUGCAAGUUUUGUGCGGACAAGUUUCACUCAAAGUCGGGACUAGUACCUGGCUGCCUGUAGCCUACCCCGCGGGUGGGGCAUAUAGGUCGUACCCCCUGGUCUCUUCAUGAGCUUAAUAGAGAUCACCCAAGUCUCAUAGACUGCGACCUUACAACAGUCGGGCUCAUAUAGGUAUAUUUUUCCAAAAUGUUCUGCAGGGGCAACAUCUUUGCUAAUUAAAGCCAACAAAAUAUAUUAAGGCAGUAGCCAGCCUGCCAUGCAGUGGUUUGAGAGUGUUGCAUCAUUUCUCGAGUGGGUUAGUAGGAUACUCUCAUGCUAUCCCAUGGCUUGUUCUUCCCAGAUCCUACUUCAUGGGAUCUCCGAUCACAUAGGUUGGGUUACCACCACGGUGUAGCUCAUAUGGGUCUCAUACCCAUCUCCUUUGAUGCAUUGUCUAUCACAUUACGUGACAGCCCCUUAGUGAACUGAUCUGCCAAGUUCUUAUCAGUUGAGAUGUAAUCCACUGAUAUUACUCCGGAGUUUCUCAUUUUCCUGACAGAUUUCAGACGUCUCUUAACGUGUCUUGAUAACUUCAUAUUGUCCUUAGAAUUGUUCACUUUGACUAUCACUGUUUGAUUGUCACAAUUCAUAAGUAUUGCCGGCAUAGGUUUCUCGACAAUAGGCAAGUCCACCAAGAGUUCACGUAGCCAAUCAGCCUCAACUGUGGCUGUAUCUAAUGCUGCAAGUUCUGCUUCCAUGGUAGACCUCGUUAAGAUAGUCUGUUAGGAUGACCUCCAUGAAACAGCACCACCACCAAGAGUGAAGACGUAUCCACUUGUGGCAUACAGUUCAUCAACAUCAGAUAUCCAAUUUGAAUCACUAUAGCCUUCCAGUACUGCAGGAUACCCGGAGUAGUGAAUUCCGUAAUCCAUAGUGCUAACUAAAUAGCGCAUGACUCGCUCAAGCGCACGCCAAUGAUCAUCUCCCGGAUUAGAGGUAAACUGGCUCAGUUUGCAAACAGCAUAUGAGAUGUCAGGCCUAGUAGCACUGGCUAAAUACAUAAGUGAUCCAAUAAUCUGAGAGUAUCUUAAUUAGUCUCUACCAAUUCUCUUGUUUUUCCGAAGUAUCAAGCUCGGAUCAUAAGGUGUGGGAGAAGGCUUACUAUCCUUAAAGCCAAACCGGCUCAAGACCUUUUCCACAUAAUGAGAUUGCGUGAGAGUAAUCCCAUUCUCUCCUUUGAUCAGCUUGAUAUUCAGAAUUACAUCAGCCUCUCCAAGAUCUUUCAUGUCGAAAUUUUGGCACAGAAAUAACUUGACCUCUUUGAUCACAUCAAGAUUUGUACCAAAGAUCAGUAUGUCAUCGACAUACAAGCACAAUAUAACUCCCUCACCCCCACCAUGGCGGUAGUACACACAUCUAUCAGCCUCAUUGACAGAAAAGCCUGCUGAUAUGAGUGUAGUAUCAAAUUUCUCAUGCCACUGCUUAGGUGCUUGUUUCAGGCCAUACAAAGAUUUCAGCAAUUUACACACCUUGUUCUCUUGACCCUUUAUUACAAACCCAUCAGGCUGAUUCAUAUAAAUUUCCUCAUCCAACUCUCCAUUAAGGAAAGCUGUCUUAACAUCCAUCUGAUGGACGAGAAGACCAUGUGAGGCAGCAAGGGAAAGUAAUACUCGAAUACUGGUCAAUCUCGCAACAGGUGAGUAGGUGUCGAAGAAAUCUUCACCUUCUUUCUGGGUAUAACCCUUAGCCACAAGUCGAGCCUUGUACUUAUCAAUAGUACCAUCAGGCCUAAGCUUCUUUUUGAACACCCACUUGCAACCCACAGGUUUACAACCAUACGAUCGAUCAACAACCUCCCAAGUUCCAUUAGAAAGAAUAGAGUCCAUCUCACUAUGGAUAGCUUCUUUCCAAUCAUCUGCAUCUGGAGAUGCAAAUGCCUCUGAAAUAGUCUUAGGAGUAUCGUCUACGAGAUAGACAGUGAAAUCAUCACCAAAGGACUUUGCAGUUCUUUGUCUCUUGCUCCUCUUAGGAGCUUCACUGUUAACCUCCUCAUGAACUGGCUCAAGUGUUUGUUCAGCAUGAUCAGGACGCACAAUAGGUUCAAGAGUUGUCUCAGCAAUCAUAUCAGAAGAUAGUCUAGACAUACUAUGCAAUUGUUUCAUAGGAAAUAUAUUCUCAAAGAACGUAACAUCACGAGACUCCAUCAAGGUAUUAACAUGAACAUCAGGCACCUCUGAUUUAACCACUAAAAAUCUAUAGGCUAUGCUAUGAUGAGCAUAUCCCAAAAAGACACAAUCCACAGUUUUAGGUCCCAACUUACGUUUCUUGUUGAUUGGCACACUAACUUUGGCCAAGCAACCCCAAGUGCGUAAGUAUGAAAGUGAUGGUUUUCUUCCAAUCCAUUCUUCAUAGGGAGUUUUCUCCUUAUUCUUCAUGGGUACUUUAUUCAGGACAUGACAUGAAGUCAAUAUAGCCUCCCCCCACCAUGCCUUAGAUAAUCCACUGGUGUCUAACAUGGUGUUCACCAAGUCAGUCAAGGUGCGAUUCUUUCUUUCGGCAACCCCGUUUGAUUGGGGCGAAUAGGGAGGCGUCCUCUCAUGUACAAUACCAUGUUCUUCACAGAACAAGUCGAAAUCAUUAGAGAAAUACUCGCCACCACGAUCAGACCUAAUUCUCUUGAUCUUUUUCUCAAGUUGAUUCUCAACUUCAGCCUUAUAGAUUUUAAAGUAGUUAAGAGCCUCAUCUUUCAUUUUCAAUAAAUAUACAUAGCAAUAUCUAGACGCAUCAUCUAUCAAAGUCAUGAAAUAUCUUUUUCCACCUUUGGUCAACACACCAUUCAUCUCGCAUAUAUCAGAAUGAAUGAGUUCAAGUGGUGCCAAGUGUCUCUCCUCGGCUACCUUGUGAGGUUUUCGAGGUUGCUUAGAUUGCACACAACUAUGGCACUUAGAACCUUUGACAAUGGAAAAAUUCGGAAUUAAACACAGGCUAGAAAGUCGAGACAUAGAACCAAAAUUCAGAUGACAUAAACGUGAAUGCCAAACACUAGCAUCACUCUCAUUAAUACCAUCACAAAUAUAGUUCACAGACUUAUUGCAAUAAUCUGAAAGGGAAAAGCGGAACAAGCCUCCGCACUCAUAGCCUUUACUAAUAAAUUGUCCACUCUUAGACACGACAAUUUUAUUAGACUCAAGCACUACCUUAAAACCAUCCCUACACAAAAGGGAGCCACUAACUAGAUUCUUCCUGAUAGAAGGGACAUGCUGCACGUUCUUCAGUUGCACGAUCUUUCCCAAAGUAAACUUCAGAUCUACCGUACCAACACCAUGAACAGAAGCAUGUGACCCAUUCCCCAUUAGGAUGGAGGAAUCCCGAGCGACCUGGUAAGAUGAAAAUAAGGAGGCAUCAGCACACACAUGAAUAUUAGCACCAGUAUCAAGCCACCAAGUGUUAGUAGACUGAAACAUUAAAAAAACAGAAGGUAAAUUACCAUACCCACUAUUUCCGUCUCCAGCGCUGGUCACCAUGCUCACAGACUUCUGCUGUGGAGGUUUUCUUCCUUUGCGGUUUGGGCACUUCUUUGCCCAAUGGUCAGUAGAACCGCACACGAAGCAUCUCUCGUUCUCCUUGUUCUUCUUCUUCUUGAAGGUAGUGGACUGCUUAGGCUUAUUGUUCUUACCCUUGCCCUUGCCACCAUUGCCAUUGUGAUGUGAUUGGUGCACCAUAUUGGCACUGGUCUGACUCUCAACAGCUUUAGAUCGUCCAUCUUUAGCUCGAGCUUUCUCCUCAACAUCAAGAGACGCAAUCAGGUCUGAAACAGAAAUUUUUGUCCUCUUGUGUUUGAGAGAAGUGGCGAAAUCCCUCCAGGAUGGAGGUAACUUGGCAAUAAUGCCCCCAGCCACAAACUUGUCGGACACGACAAUCUUUAGCAGAUCGAGUUCCUUCACCAUGCACUGUAAUUCAUGAGCCUGAGCGACUACAGAUUUUCCAUCAACCAUCUUGUAGUCAUGAUACUGCUCAAUGAUGUACAGUUCAGUGCCAGUAUCUGAGCCACCGUAGUUGGCAGUCAGAUCGUCCCACAACUCCUUUGCGACCGUGUGAUGAAGAUACACAUCCUGCAGAUGUUCUGCAAGUGCACCAAUCACAGCGCCCAAGAAGAUUGUGUUGGCUUUCGAAUAUUCUUUCUCCUUUUCAGGAGAGAGAACCCCUUCCGGCUUGCCAUUGGACACCCAGAACACCUUCAUGGUAGUAAGCCACAGCGUGGCUUUCACCUGCCACCUCUUGAAGUGCACGCCAGCAAACAGUGCUGGCCUCAGUGCAUCAAGAAAUCCAGCCAUAAAACUAAAGUGCCUACAAUAAGGUUUUUGGAUUAUUGGAUAUAUAAGCACUUUUAGUUUUAAUUUAAUCUAGAAAUAAAUCAUGAAUAAGAUGAACAGACAGCAGAUUAAACUAGACAUGUCUACGCAAAGAUCUAGACAAGUCUAUUCAUUGCAAAUAGAAUCACACAUUCUACCAUACUAUCCAGUGCUAUCAGACUGCAACAGAUCAUAAUAGCUAGUAUGGAAGACAUAAUUUGAGUUAAGAGAUCGUACGUUUCUUUCUUGAUGAAGACCGGCUCCUGGACGACUACUGGGUACAGCAGCCGAUGACGAUCAGCAGCAUGACGUUGUUCGCGACGGCGAGUGAGGCCCGAGCGACGAAGAGGUAGACGAGCCGUGGUGAAGGAGUCGACGAAGAACUUGACGAAGCGGAGGAAGCGAUCGAGCAGUCGCGCAGAGCGCUUCCCAAAAACCUUAUUCGCCCUCUCCUGGUGCAGGAUCGCUGAAGGCGAUGGUUCCGUAGACCUGCUCUCCCAAUCGCCGGUGCACGCCAACAAUCGGGAUGGAGUAGACUACGGUGGCGGCGCAGCAGCGAGAGGAGGCAAAAACCCUAGCUCGAAUAGAUUUGUUUAUGGUAGAGGCCGGUAGGUCGCAUAUAUAGGAGAGCCCACGAUUCUCACGUCGCGAUCGUGAUCUAAACCCGUUAGGAUUCCAUAUAUCUCGCUGACUUAAAGACCAAGUAACCAAAAAAUAAAACGGCAAAAGGAAGCCGCGCCCCCGCAAGGCGAGGGACCGGAUUUCUGCGGACCAUUCACGCAGGUGCCGCGCGCCCACGCCCUUCGCCCGGCCCGGCCCGGCGUGGCGAGCGAGCGCGCGCGUGUGGAGCUCUUCUUCCCUCCCCACACACAUAGCUUGGAGGAGUGGAGACAACUUCCAUAUUUAAGUUGGUCAUCCCUCCCCUCCACUAGCAAGGUGGGACUAAAGACUUGCACCACUCCACCUCUUGCCCACAUGGGCCUUUGAGAUUUAUUUGAAAUUCUGAAAUUCCUUAUGGGCUAGGCCCAUUAUUUCAACAGAAACUAAUGUACAAUUCAGAAGUAACUAAAAUACAAGAUAGAAAGUCACAUUGACUUACCAAAUAUCACUUGGUCUGGCUAUGUGGUCGAGAUCCGCCUCUGUUUUGAGCAAAGUCAGGCUGCAUCCGCGAUCCUUGAGCAAGACGGCACUUCUUUAAGAAACCUGGUGAGCACCAAUAAGCACAUAUCUUGCGCCAUGCCUCAUCAGAAAUCCAUUCUGGCCAAACCUUCAAAUAUUGUGUUUCACGGAGCAAUUUCUUGCGAGCAACUUUGUCAUUUAUCCGCUGAUCUAGGAAAUCGUCAUAAUAGGCCUUCACAGCACUCACACGAAGCUCAUACAUCAUGUUUUUGCAUUGCUUGGCAGCAAAUCUCUCAACAACUUCCUCAGCAUGUAAUCUGUCUUCCUCACUCACUGAAUAGAUACUCUGCACUAAAAAAUAGAAUACUCAGCCCAUGUACACCUAUGCUAAUAAAUCCUACAAAGCUGAACAAAAAGAUGACAUAUGUUUGAACUUUUUUACUCACCCAAAACUCUUCUGAAAUGAUAAGCUCAUCCAAUGCUCAUCUCUGGUAAUACUAUAAUGAUCCCAUAUCUUUGCAUAAAAUGUUUUCUUAGGACCAUCUUUAACAAUGGAAGGGUAUUCAAGUUUUAGGAUUUCUGUUAUUUGACCACCAAUCACUAUUUCCUUAUCAGAUGAAUCGUUCACAAACUUAAAUUGUCUAUGAGAAAAAGUGAAGACUUAUUAUAGGAUAGCAACAUUAUACAAGAAAAUUUGUGGACAGUAAUACUACAUAUCCAUUAACUAGAAAAGAAAACCACUACUAAAGCAUUAACAUAGACAACCACUAGUGAACCACUACUGAAACAUUAACUAGGCAAUGAAACGAAUCAAUUCUAUGAAUUUCCCAAAGAAAAAGGGUAUCAGAAGAUGUACUCACUCAUCUCCAACAUGUUUAAUAGGAAUCUGUUAGCCAUUUGGGGGUCUUUUUAGCUUGGUAGGUCCCCUCUUCUUCUUUCUUUGGCUUCCUUGCUAUUUGCAAUGGCACUUGGGAGGAGGGCGGCGGCGAUAGUGGGGGGAACGGCGGAGGGGAAGCAGCGGUAGUGGGGGAGGGACAACGGCAGGGGAGCGGCGGUCGGGGGAGCAGCGGUCGUGGUGGAUGGACGGCGUCGGGGGAGUGGCGGUCCAGCGGAGGGACGACGUCAGGGCCUUGGGGGAGUGGCGGCGGGGAUGCGCAUGUUGGCCGAGCGGUUGCUGAUGCUCUUUAUUGACACACUUUUUCCCAUGUUUAUCUUUAAUAAUGACAUGAAUUUAAUACAUAAACUAAUGAUCACACCUAAUAAAUCGGUCAUUUUCACAUGUGCAACAUAUUUUGGAGGAUAUUUUGUUUUUGCAGGGAAUUGUACCUAAAAGCAUAUUUUUGGAUAAAGCACCGAAUGAGCAUCGAACCAGACUAAGACGAAGGCCAACGGGACUACGAAGGGCUUAGGCCGAUCGGCCAAGAGGAGCCCAGGCCGAUCGGCCUAGGAUCCUCUAGCGCCUCCUGAUGCCCAUCUUUGGCAAGCAAUCAUUCGAGAUGAUUUAAGAGCUAAGUUUGUAAAAACAUGGCAAGGAUGACUUCGAGAUCAAAGAAGAAUCAAAAAAGAUUAAGCGGAGAUUUGGAAAGUUAUUGAAGAUCAAUUUCAUCCCGAAGCUACCGACAUGCCAGGCCCACAUGCAAGUGAAAAUAAGACACCUGAGCAUCUAAGAAGACUUGGGAGUUUCCUUCGCCCCCUCGCCUUCUAAUUUUUACCAUGCGCUCUCUAGACUAUAAAUACCUCAAAAAUCCAUCGAGCCCCAUAUCCAAGAUGAUGUACUCGAUGUGAAGCGGUAGAGAAGCAAAACGAGCUUGAGGGACACCUCUCCGGAGAGCCGAGAGCCGUGCAAUUGUUGGGGGUUAGCGUAGCUGAACCUCUGCCGGCGUGAUCACCCUGCGAGGAAGAUCACACUGGAGUUCUGGAGCUAGCAAUCAUCAAGAUCAAGGUAGGAUCCCUGUGGUGAUCUUGCAAUGUACAAUCAUUCAUGAUGAAGUAAUAGAUGUGUUCAUAUUCUUAGCGAUCUAAGUAUCUCCUUUGAUGAUUUUAUGCUUUAUCGAGUUUGCUUGCUUUUCCAUCUAUGGAUCGAUGAUAUAUUGUUUAGGGUGUUCUUGUGGUCGUGAUGACUAGAUUUGCAUGGCUGAUCUACCGAUGAGUAUGACAUGUUCUCUUGAUCAUGCCCUUAACCUGCUUGCGCUGAUAAAGGUGAUCGUGACAGGAUCUUUCUUAUGUAAGGUGGAGGGUUUCAGGAUCUGGACCGGAGGUGUAGAUUUAAAGAUGCUUUUUACUAGAAUCAUAUCUAUGUUAUUUUGCUAUCCAUGCUCAGAAUUACAACAUAUGCAUAGUCUAGGUUGCUCUAGAUUGGUUAUCUCUGAUCUAUCUAUUAUCUGUCUAUACAUGCUCAGUAGAUUGGAUCUGAAUCUCUCAUAAACACCAAGUUAAUACUAACAAUGCUAGUUGAAAUAGAUCUUAUGCUAUAAGUUCUAUGGAUUGAUAAACCUUAGGAGAAUACUAUGAGGGAAGAGCUACAACUGAUCCGUACGUUUGCGGUUCACAAUUGGCGUGCUAACAGCCGUCAACAGCGGCCAAGCACGAGGUGGCGGUGAGAUUGGGAUAGGGUUCCGAGGGGAGGAGAGGCUUGGGGUAUUUUGAUGCAUUGGUGUUAGUACGUGGGUCCGAGUGUGGGAUAGGGCGGGAUAGAAGUGCGCCCGGCCAAUUUUUUGCCCAAGACUGAUUUUUCGACGCGUGGGAGUGAAAUGCUACGCGGGUUCAGUGCGAGCGCCCGACGGAACAAGGUUUCCUGUCGGUUUUUUCUACCAUCGGGACCACCACAUAAUUCCUACCGGUUUUCCAAUAUCCUGACGGUUUAGCGAAACCGAUAGGAAUUCGGGGCUGGUUUCCUGUUGGUUUUUCCCCUCCGAUGGGAUUGUGCAAGGAUUCCUGUCGGUUUUCUUAAAACCGACGGGAAAAAUAAAAACCGACAGGAAUUUCCAGUUUUCUGGUAGUGAACUAGGAGAGAAGUUUACAAAGAAAACAGACAGGAAAAAUAAAAACCGACAGGAAUCUCUGGUUUUCUGGUAGUGAACUAGGAGAGAAGUUUACAAACACUGGAGAGUGAUGCAGCAAGAAGUCCACACUCCAUAGUCCAUAGUCCAUACUAGGACUCCAGUAGACUACCAGUGCAUCGGAAAAAUCUUCUCCGUUCACUUGAUUUUCACCUAAUCAGGAACAUUCCCCUGAAGGUUUGUACUAGAUUCUAAAGAAACUUCCCUUUUUUGCAUUCCGUGUUGUAAAUUCACAUGAUUUUGGAAUGGAAAAAGUAAUACCAAGUCCUGCAUCCUCUCAAGUUUCAAGCACAAAUAAGUUUCAUAUUCUCCUAAGUAAUUGUUACAUUUGUACUGCUAUACUUGACUUCCAAAUGAACUUCAUAUGAAAGGAAGUGUGUGUUAUGGGGAAAUGAAAAUCACAAACGUGUUUCACUGAACAUCAAAACACGUGAUCGAAGAUGGUAAUAGAAAAAAUGUUCAAAAGUACUAUAUACGGCUGAGUUAUUCCUACUACUAUAUAGCAAUAAAAAGAAAAGAAGGAAACUUCAAGGUAGCUACACCUAUACAUGGAUGUAAUUAACAAGCAACUCCAAUUGUAUUUCCACUGUAGUCUACUAGAAACCAGAAUAUGCAACACAAAAGGAUGUGAUGAACACAUGAUCCAAACUGCUAUAAAGAUUACAGGGUACCUAUGUGGAUAUUGUGUUAGAGAAUGAAAAAACAAGAGAGCAUACAUACUUAUCAUGUAUGAUGUCACGUUAGAAAAAAGAAGUCAAAUAAACAUGACAAUUGGACACUUUAGAAACAUAGGUGAUACAUCACAACCAAAAUUUCUAGGUUAGUCGGUGGUGAAGAGCAAUCAUUUUCUAUUUAGGUGGUACAUAGACCAAAAAUUCUAUGUUAGUCGGCGGUGAAAAACAAUCAUUUUCUAGACGUCAUUUCCUUCCGAGAACGUCAAGAGUGAUUUCUCCCUAUAUAGUUGUAGGAACCAGUAAUUUAUGCAUUGAGCAAAAAUGAUUGAUCAAUAGUUCUAAAGAAAAUAGUGGCAGUUUAUGUAUUUGAAUUCUUGAAAGAGUACAGCUCGUGAGUGUGACAAUCGGGAAAAGAAAAGAAUACCUCCCAGUAUAUCCCAGAGGCAGCGAAGGACAAAGGGCCCGUUCAAACUUUGCUACAGUACUCCGGUAGUAUGUGGCUGUGCUGCUCUUAACUUUGCUAAACGGGACAUGCCGUCCUUUAUACUGCAGGGUUCUCAGUUUUGGGAGGACCGUAUGGUCCAAUAGUUUCUUUUAGACGGAAUGGGCCAUGCACUCUCUUUUUCUUUUGACAAAAUGGGCCAUGGUUUUUAAACGAUAUGGGCAAUUGUCGCUUAUGAUGGCAACUAUGGGCUCGUCUUGGCUAUGAACCCAAGCCCAGUUCUUGCAGGUGUGGGUGUGUCAGCAGAACUGCGGCCUGGCCCGCACGCGCACGGGCGCGGGGCACCCGUCGGCGCCUCGGCGGCCGCCUGCCCGCCUCCAUCGCGGGCUUCAGGCGAGUACGCGACGGCACGCGCACUCCGCCCCCGCCAGCCAGAACCCUGGCCGCAGCUGUGCGCGCCGGUUCGCCGCCGCGCGUUUGCCACCACGAUGCUCACUCCACCGAUGACCGCAUUGCCAACUCAAUUUCAGGUAUGGAAGCACCAACUCCGACAAAACCUUUUUUUUCACAACCCCUUCUCCCAACUCUCCCAAGUAAACUUGGUGAUGGCAUAUUUAGCAGCAGGAAUCACAUAGUCAAGCAUUACUACAGCAAAAGAAAAAUGGAACACUGUUUUUCCGAUAAAGAAAAUGGAACACUGUAUGUAAACCAGAUUGCGUGAGUUCACAAAUAAGCCAUCAAUGAUGAUUACAGGUGACCCUUGAAAAAAAAAAGGGGAUGGUUACUGGUAGCAAAACUGAAUGUCCUAUAAUUGUCACCAGAAGUCUGCAUAGAAACGCAGCCUGCAGGUUUCGACAUAGCACGAGCAACGAUGGAUCUGUUGAUAUAUUUUUCAGAUAUCUUUUAGCCAUCAAGACGAGCAAAGUGCAAACAUAAACUACAAUGCAUGGUGAAUUUGCAGGGGAAAAAUCUAAACCAAAACUGAGGAAGCGUGCAAAGAUAAUCCUGAAGUUUGCCAUGAACGAAAAGGUGUGGCACAGACUCUUUCCCAUCAGUCAUAUUACCUGCCUGUGCGAGUUGGGACUGAAAACAGCAAACCUGAAUAUUUGUCGAACAUUUGACACAGUCUCAUAGUAAUUUGAUCGCUCCAGUAACAAGAUAAGGUGGAAUGGAUAAAAAAAAUAAUUACUACAGCAGUCCUCUCUGCUAAGAGAAUGCACAAGCCACUCAGUAUGGCUACUUCCAGAAAGUAUUUCAGCCCUAUUUAUGAUACAUAAGAAACAAUUGCAGUGUUAUCCUUUCUGCAAAAAUUCGCAGCUAGAAUGAAGCCUUUACAUCGUUUACUGAUAUCCAGAUUUACAGACAGAAUGGGAGGCGAGGGCGAUUGUGACUGCGGAUGUAGCGCACCAGAUCAUCGCUAUAGUUCUUGUGGUAAACAAUCGCGUCGCUCAGCUGCUUAAUGGCUUCUCUCUUCUCCUGCACUCUAGCUGCUAGCUCUUCUUCUUUCUCUGCCACCGUCUUCUCGAGCUGGACCAUCUUCGCUUCUGCAUCAGCUGUGUUCUUCACCAUUUCUGACACCAAUUUUUCUUUCUCUCUCAACCUGACAGCCAUCUCAUCAUUCUCCUUGACAAGCUCCUUCUGUUCAUCAAGAUGAUCAUGUAGCUUCUUCCUCAGGACAUUAAGCUCUUCACCACAUGCAGAUGAACGAUCAACGAAGAGUGCAAAACUCUGACACAAGAGUGGUUCUAGCUCGUCCAAUUUGUCAGCCAAUUCAGAGACCCCUGAUUCGGCAUGUCCUUUUACUUGCAUGAGAGUUUCUUCCAGCAAGUUGACUCUCCCAGAAAAUUGUUUUACCAGUUGUUCAAGAUGAUGGAUCUCUGCCUGUGAUGUCUCCACUGCCAUUGCGUAGCUGUCUUCUUUGCAUUUGCUUUCUGCCUCGGUAACUUUAAGCUUCUGCUUGGCUAGCUGGAGUUGAACUUCAAGGUCUUGGACAUCCUUUUGUAGCUUUGUGUUCUCCUUAUUUGCAGAUAAAUUUUCCUCUUCCAGAAGUCGAUGUUUCUCCAAAGUUUCUGUGUGUUUCUCCUCUAGUUGACCUAUCUGCUCAAUCUGAAGCCUCUUAAGUAUCUCGAGCUGGGAGACCCUCGAGGACACCUCAUCAUAUGCAUACUGAAGCCUCUGACAGCUGCUAGCAACCCCUUUCAGGCUCUGGCGGAGAACCACAAGUCCAGCCUCAUGAUCUGAAUUUUUUUGUGUAACUCUAUCUUCAAAUUCCGUCAUAAAUGACAUGUUUACUGUGCAUGCUUCAAUCAUAAUUUUUAGAUCCUCCUCCAACUUGGUCUUUUGAUAAGACAAUAGAGCGAUUGUCUUCUCCAGAUCUUUUGUUUUUGUACUCAUGUCAUCAAUUUGACAAGCUGCUUCAGCCUGAGCCUUCUCGAGAUUCUCAUGUAGGUUAGAUACUUUUAGUAUUGCCUCUUCCAACUGCUUUUCCAAGGUAGAAUUAUUUUCCAGCUGAACUGAAAGUUCAUCUUUCAGCUGUGUCACCUCAUUCGCAAGAUUUUGUACUGAAUCCUCUGAUUGCUUCAGCUUUGUUAGCACUGCAUCCUUCUCUUCUUGUGUAGCCUUAACCUCCUGCUGCAGCUCAGCCUUGGCUUGUUCUGAUUGCUCGGUCAAAGUACAAAUGAUCUUCUGUGACUCAUCAUUAGCUUGCUGUAGAGUUGAAAUGUUCUCGUUUUGGGUUUGAAGGGCAAUCUCAAGAUUUCUGACAGAAGCCUGAGACGUCUGUAACUCCAAUAGCGUUGCGUCCUUCUCUGCACGUAGUUCUGCAAUUUCAGCAUGCGUACUGCUCCUGACUUCUUCCAACUGCUUGUCCAAGGUGGAAUUGCUUUCUAGCUGAACUGAAAGAUCCUCUUUCAGUCGUGUCACCUCAUUCUCAAGAUUUUGUACUGAAGUCUGUGACUGCUUUAGUUGUGUUAGUGUUGUAUCCUUCUCUUCUUGUGUUGCCUCAACCUCCUUCUGCAGCUCAGCCUUGGUUUGUUCUGAUUGCUCAGUCAAGGUACAUAUGUUUUUCUGUAACUGAUCAUUAGCUUGAUCCAGAGUUGAAAUCUUCUCACUUUGCUUUUUUAGCACACUCUCCAAGUUUCUGACAGAAGCCUGAGACACCUGUAACUCUGAUAGAACUAUGCCCUUCUCUGCUUGUAGUUGUGCAAUUUCAGCAUGCAAACUGCUCCUGACCUCCUCCAAUUGCUUGUCCAAUAUAGCAAUGUUGUUCUUCAGAUCUUCAUUAGCUAGAUUCAUUUUUGAGAUUUGCUCUUUUCCUUGCUCCAAUUCAAUUCUAAGAUUCUUGAUAGAAGCCUCAGACUGCUGCAGAUCUGAAAUUAUUUUGUUCCUUUCAUCUUGUAAUGCUAAAAUUUCAGCAUGGUGACUAACCUUCGCCUCUUCCAGUUGCAUCUUCAGGUUGGAGUUACUAUUUUGUAGGUCUUCAUUAGAAAGCUGCAGAACAGAAAUUUGUUCAACUUGUUGUUCUAAAUUGCUUUCAAGAUUAAUAACAGAAGCAGCAGCUUCAUUUUUUUGUCCUUUUACUUCUACAAUUUCAUUAUGCAUGUUAGAAUUUGCCAGCUCCAGUUCUUCAGUAGUCUUCUGCAUAUCUGAAAUCCUCUCAAGUUGUUGUGCUAGCUCAGUCUUAAGAUUCAUCAAAGAAGCCUCUAGCUGCUCUACCUCUGACAUGGCCGAAUCCUUCUCCUCCUGUAGCUCGGCCAUAUUACUAUUCAUAACAUUUCUUGUUGAUUCCAGUUCCUUUUCUAGAUCUUUAAUACUAGACUGUGCCUUCUCUAUCUCAUUCAAGUAUAUGGAAUUUUCUGAUACUAGUCUUUCUUUUUCUUCUGCUGCAUUAUUACGCUCCUUGUCUAGAUUGUUCAUUAACUCUGCGGCCUCGACUUUCAGGCCAUCUAUCUCCAACCCCAGUUGCUGGAGUUUUCUUUCAGCUGAAUGAUUUUCUGUGAUCAAGGAUUCAUUUUCAGCGGUGAUUUCUGCAAUGGCUGCCUUCAGUUGAAAGCACUCAACAUCUAAAUUCUGAUGAAGUGCUUUCAGGUUAUCAUGCUCAACCAACAGCAUCAAGUUAUCAUUCUUCAGCUUCUGGUUUUCUUCCAACAAGGCAUGCACUUCUUUCUCAGCCUGUUGGGCCUUCUCAACUUCUGAUGAUAGGAGGUUGCAUUUGUCCAUUGUAUCUUUCAGCUGAUUCCUCAUAUCUUCCUUCUCCUUCUCGAUGUCUACAAUUAACAUCUUCAGGUUAUCUCUCUCUUCUUCAAUAAUCUGCUUCUCACCAGACAAUGUUGUGACCUCGGUCUCCUUGGAUUUUAAGGUGUUAAGCAAUUCUCCUUCCUCCCUCUUUGCAGUUUCAACUAACAAUUUCAGAUUUUCAUACUCAGAUGACAAAUUUGCAAUCUCUGAACUUGUAGCUUCUUUAUCCUUGAUUGCUUUAUCAAUUAGCUGCUUCAGAUCAGAUAUUUCCUUGGCCUGUUCUUCUGUACUUUGUUUCAGCUUCUCAAUCUCUGCUUCCAUGUUAUUAUGCUUAGUAGGCUUAUGGUUUAGUCCGUUUUCUUCAUUCACUGCUACUUUUGGUGCAGUGACAUCAUUGUCUGAGCUGUCUCCUUCUGCGUCUGAAUCAGAUGAAUCUGAACCAGAGGAACGGUGGCCAACAUUUUCUAGUUUGCUAACUAGUUGUUUGUAGUGCUUGUGAAGGUAUUGAUAGUCCUCAUGGAAGCCCUUCACAAGGGAAGACAGCUUUGAUUUCUUGACAGGAUUUCCAUAAUCAUCUUGUUCAUUCUCAAUUUGCUCGUUCUCUUCUCCUAUCAUUCGCAAAAUGUUCUCCACAUUCUCAUCAACAUCUGAAAAAAACAAAAUAACAACUAUUGUUCUCAGACUAUGUCUCGCUAGAAAUAGGAUAGAUAUUAGUUGAACAAGCUAGAAUUCUUCUUGAAAAAUGUAAUUAUAGCAAUGUCAAAAACACUUUAAUGGUGAAAUACGAACAUAUAAGAUCAUUCAUGUUCGGUGGGUAUUAGAAUCACGUUGAGAUCAGCCACAAGAAUGUCAGAAAGGAACAACAGUAGAUCAGUAGGAGUUUUCAUCUGUGUAGAAACUGCACUUCGAGAUCUCUGUGCCAACAUAAAAACUCCUUUGAGUAAAUAUUAGUCAUGAAUUCAGACAGUACCCUUUUUGCUCUCCAAAAGAUGCUUGGACUUCCUAAUUUUGUGUUUCUUUGUCAUAAUGAUGUUCUUGUAUCCACAAGCUUUGCUAUUUUUAUUGCAGGAAAUCUUUCUCAGACAAAAUUGAUCAUAAUUGAGGUCGUAUGAUGCUGCAAUCCUGAAUAGCUUUGUUCCUGAAAGGGUUAAAAAAAACACAAAGACAGUGAAUGGGAAGUCACCUGUGGAUAAUAUCUCAUCUACAAUAGCAAAAUUAUCGAAAGGAAGAUCAACAUAAAAAAUACAGGUUGUUCAAUAGAAACUAUUUAACUAGUUAAGGACUGAAAAAUAUCAUCUGCACUCAGCACGCACAACAGCUGAAUAAGUAUAAAUUGGAAAAGAUGGAAGCCCCCUCUGAAGGGGUACAUAUAACCAACUUUUGCAAAAUAGGAGUUGAAUGUACAGCUAUAUUUCCAGAGUGCACAGAAAUAUUAAUUUGUGAAGCUUAUAUCCAGAAUUUGGAGCCUAAGUUAGUAGCAGCAGUAACCUUUAUGCUCUUGCACUUAGACGAAGCAGAAUGGAAAAUAUUUCAAGCUUGGAUCGUAUAUUCUAUAACUAAAUAUGCACUUCGAAUUAUAAAGUAAUAUAAUUUACGUUAUAAGGUCUUGAUUAAAUUUACAAAUAAAUGAUUUCUCUGGAGGCCCGUUGUUAUGUCAUGAUCUCCUUCAUUUGUAUGCGGUAAUAUACAGCAUGGAUCGUAAGUGGUCUAUUAAUCAAAUAAUUGUUAUGGCCUAAAAGUCUAAAACGUCAAUUUUGACCCUCUAACUAGGAAUAUUUUGCAAACAUCAGCUAUAUUGUGAUUUUUUAGGACAAUUUCAUUAUAUCAUGCUUAAAAAACAUCUUUUUUUGAUGCAAUCACUGGGGAGACGAUGGGUCCCCACCUGAAUAUAUUACCACGGGGAUGCCGGCGUGCUGGUAAUAGUAAGUUUUAAAAUGACAGGCCGUAGCCUGGAAAGAAAAUGAGAGGAGGCAUGUCUAUACUAUAGCCGCAUUACAUGGCAAAUCUAGAGCACCAGAAAUCCAUCGCUGGACGUUGGGAAUAAACUGGGUAAGUGGAAAUGUAACUCAGUGAUAAAUAGGCAGAUAUGAUGCCAUGGUUGGCGACCUGGAAGGCAAAUCACUUGUAAAAUCAUUACAUUUUGCAUUUUGGAUCUUGGCAAACUAUGCUUGACAGGAAAAGCUUUUUAUAAACUACAACAGUGUGCCCAUUAACGGCAUAUAUUGAGACUAAGGUACAUAAUAAACUAUGUACUUGUGGAAGACACUUUGGAAGCCCAUAUAUGUUGCAUUAUCUUAGAUUUGUAAUAAGAAAGAAGACAGUCUUGAUGAUUUUGCAAAGAUUGCUGAUAAACACAUGAACAGUACUAAAUAACCACAUCAAUAUUUGCAGAUUCUUCUUCUCUGUCAUUACUAAAGGUUUGAGAUGAUGCCGCAUGGAUGUUUUGAUCUUCCAUGCCAAAAAACCAUAUCCAUCUCAAAACCAGAGUCAGACUAAGCUAAAUUGCAAUGCCUGGAUGAGUACAUUAUAAAAAGUUCAAUCCAGUUCCAUCUACCAAGUCGAGUGGGUGCCCAAAAUUUACAAACCUCUUGGGCAGCAUAACUUCAGACAUAUCUGAAAUGCAUAUGGGUAGGCCGUAGGCCAUAGUGAGCCAUGCUGAAUGUGAGCCUUCUGCUAAUAGAAGUACAACAUGGUAGUAUUUUCGGCCUGGAACUAUCGUGGUGUGUUUGAAAAACAGCACGCAUAUGCGAUCUUAGAGAUCUCCAAGAGAGCCUAAAAAAUACUCCCAAUAACUUAGUUUUUGGUACAAAGAUCUGCCUGUUCGCUUCAGCUUAUUCAGCCGGCUUAUCAGCCACCAAACAGUAUUUUUCUCUCACAACAAAUCAGCCGUUUCAGCUUUUCAGUCGGCUUAUAAGCUGAAACGAACAGGCCAAAUCGGAACCUAGGCCCACUUCUUGAUGAUGUGGCACAAUUUAAAUUUUUUUGGGAAAGUAUUUUUGGGAACUGUUGGAGAGGGUGCUUUUUUUACUCCUAAUAUUUUCUGGCAAGGUCCCAAAACUAGUUUUUUUGGACUCCAUUUUUGGGCACUCUUAGAUAUGCUCCUAUAGGGGAAAUAGCAGCCCGAAGGAAUUUUUGUCAUACAAAAUCAAUAAAAAACACGAAUGGUAACGACACGCGGGACCCGGCCCGGCCAGUGCUGAAACAGUUAGCAAACUAAUCCAAGAAGACAGAAUUAAGAAGUGAUAAGUGCUAACCACUCGGCAAAUAUAUUCAAAUAUCAAGAAAGGGAGAAAAGGAAAAAAAUGAACAAAAGAAACAAAAGACGGAGGUUAGUAACAGAGAGAGAUGCUUAUGGCACUAACGCUUAUUCUAAUCUAGCAUCUCCAUCACUCCAUGUCAGUUGCCCCUUGCCACAUCAGAACGCACACGACCCAACAACGAUCCAUCCAAGAACACACACAGCCAUACGGAAAUUUCUCCACUACCGCAAGAACAUUAGUAUCACAGCAGCAGCACACCCAGAUCAGAGAAACGAGGAACUAGAGGGAGAAAAUAACUGGGAGAAUCAAGACACAUACCGCCGAAGUGCCGCCGCCUCCUCCUCUACAGCUAUCUCCCACCACUUCUUGAACCCAAAACAAGAUCUGAGAAAAACGAAAAAGAAACCAAGCAUGAUCAAAGAUUGCACACCACAGUUGCAACCAGUCAAAUCACAGGGACCUGUCACCUGUCAGAUAAAACAGGGAGCACGCCCCCAACAAGAAGAGACGAAAAUGAAACCAGACCAAGGCGCGAGAGGAGCAGUUACCUGAAGACUAGGAUGAAUCGCUUGGUCGACGAAGCAAGCAGAGGCCGCAGAGAACCAGCCCCAGAGGCUUCUUCUCCACUAGGCUCUCUGAAGUGAGCAACUCUCGCCUUGUCUUUUUGAAGCCGCUGGAGCAUCUGCCUGAGGCCCAGAGAGCCCCCCGUUUUGAUACCUUAUUACGAGAACGCCACCGAACCGAAACAGCGCUCCCGCCAUUGCAAGCGCGAGAGCACGAGCUACGGCCACCCGGAGGCCGGGGCAGGGAGUAGCAAGCGGCAGCUGCCAUGCGGGGCCCGCGACGGGCGGGGUCCGAGCUGGCGGGGCGUGGGAGCCAGCUGGGCUCCGCGGCCGGCCUUUUUGUCUCGUCCGCGUUCCCGCCUUAACGCUAGGGAGCCCAGGAUCCUCUACAUCAGGACAUAGGAAACGUAACUCAUGGACCCAUGGGCAAAGCACAACUGCAGAAGCGCUAGAAUGCAUUGAAAAUAGCAAACAUUUUUGGUAAAUUAUCAUGAAACCAUUUUUUCAUUCCACGCACAAAAAAGAGAAUUCUUCAAACCAUGUAUAUGCAAAAUCACUACCAUCCGUCCUACAUAAGCUAGGGUCAAUAUAGAAUAGCCAUGCUCUUUUAGCAUGGGUCUCACAUUCAUCAAGCUAAGCUAUUGUAGUCUUGCAGUAAUUUGCUAUGAAAACACGGUUUGCGAUUUCUAGUUUAGACUUGGGAAAAGUAUAAGAAUUGUUUCGAAAAAAUGUAUAGCAAAAUACGAGUCUUGGUCAUAGGAUACUUGCACUUCUAGAAUACAAAUUCUACUGCUUUUAUAAAUACAAAUAAAACGGUUUUCUAUGAAUUGCAAUGACCUUUCAAAAAGGCUCGAUUCUUAGUUUCUCAGGACGAUGGAAGGUGGGAUGAAGAGCGGCAGCAUUCCGUGCCACUCUGUUCCUUGUGCAGACAAUCAUUGGUCAUGUUUCUUUUUUGAAUGCCAUGAUCAUUGGUCACGUUUGUGGAGCAAUGUUGGGGCCUGACGAGGACGGCCUCCUUCAUUUUCGUCCAUCAGAUGGUGCGCGGCUCUGCUUUUGUUCAUGUUGCCUUGCCCAGGAAAGAAUAUUUUGGGGAUUCAGCUCCGUGGACUCCAUAGCAUUCAUCUGCUAUCUGCAUAUAAUAGUAAUAAACUGUAACCCUCUGUGUCUGCCUCACUGGUUAUCCAUAUACCCACACCAAAUCCACACCCAUUUUAAAUAGGGAGGGUAUCGGUAGAAAAUUAUAUACCUAUUAAAAUAUGGAGGGUACAAUUUAUCCAUUGAAUAUGUGUGGGAUUGGAGAGGGUAAAGAGUGGAUAAUAAUUAUUUUUAGAUUUGGGCGUGAACAAAAGUGAGUUUGUCCAUUCCCUCUCUAGUGACAGGUAUACCUUUGUGUACGUCAGAUGAGCAACGUGAGAACCAUAUGUAUCUGGAGCAUAUGUAUCCGGAGCAUGAUGAUGAAUAGGAAAAGGGCGCUUAGAAAAAUAGCAUAUCGGAUUAUCGAAGUAUCACGUAUCCGUGUAGUAUCGAAUUAUCCGUGCAACCUAACGAAGCGCAUGUAGCAGUCAAGCAUCUGAUAGGAACUAAUUUUUCCCUUUAUUUUUUCAAGCCCCCUAAGCUUGAUAGUAACAAUUUGUAAUGUAACCACAUGAUGCGGUGCGUGCAAGUAUGCAAUUGAUGUAGACAACGUUGAUAAGUAUGACGACUCAUAAAAUAAAGAGAUUGUUGUUUGGACAUAGAACUGCUCCGAUACUCCUCUUUUAAGUUUUAGCACAAAUCUUUAAGUAACUCACUAAUUAAUUAAUUAUUUUCUUAAUUAAAUUUCAUAUUAGUCCCAAAUGGGCUUCGCAUGACCCUUCCCCAGCCCACGCCCGCGACACCAUGAUCCAUCCCCAUUCACUUUCGCUGCUCGUCUCUUCCUUUCCCCUCGAUCCCCUUCGUCGGUGUUAUUUUGUUUCGAUGCCAUCGACCUGAGGGCUCCGCCGUCGGUGUUGUUUCAUUUUACAUCUAAACCAGACGAGAUCACGCACCGCACUCCUCAACUCACCUGCCGCGCCCUGAUGGACGUCACACACUUUGUGCAUUGUUUGUGCUCAAGUAUAUGUAUAUGAAGUUAGCGUUGGAAUGGGACAAAGAUGCAGGGAAAUUUCACACUGGUAACAGUAGUUUACUUUCAAUCGCACCAUGCUCGCUCUUCGUGGGAGUUGGUCGAGAUUGUCAUGUUGCAUCUGAUUCGGAUGACAUUUAGCAAUGUGCCGUCGUGGAGCACUAGCUGCAGCCUGCAGCCGCUGGCUGCCUGCCAUGGCACGAAUGACCUUGCUGCCGUACUUGCCGCCGCGGCCGCCUUCACCUCACCAGACACGCAAAACGAAACGGUGCCUGCGGGAGUGGAUGGCAUGAAUGGCCUUGCCUCCGUGGAGUACUGCUCGAUGGCGCCGCCACCACCGUGGAGCGCUCGCCAGCAUGUGAAACGAAACGGUUCCGAAGAAGGGGAUCGGAGGAACGGACUAGCGGGAAAGCGGAUGAGAAUGGAUCAUGAGUUUGGGGGAGCAUGGGCUGGACAAGGGUAGGGCCAGGCCCAUUUGUGGCCCAUGCGAAAAUUAAUUAAGAAAAUGAAUUAAUUAGUUGGUGGGCUGCUUUAAGAUUUGUGCUAAAAGUUAAAAGAUGAGUACCGAAGCAGUUCUCACGUAGGAAUUUGUCUGUUGUAGAAUUUUAAGAAAAAAGAAAAUCUCUGAUGCUGGUUUCCUUGGAGCAGAAAAACUGCAACUUGGGAGCUAUAUAGGAGAGCUGACUCCUUUUUGGGAGGCGGACUGUGGAGGAGCUACAGAUAAAAAUCGGUGUGGAACGGAUCCAUCCAUACUGGCGUGGCAUCACACUGCCCCUCACCCAAUAUUCCUUCCGAAUUCCGAUUGGGGGUUCAGAUCUCGGCAGCGCUGAUCGAUCGAUCGGUCGAUCUCGCCACCUGCAACGGAACGGGGACGUGGACGGAGCAUGUGACCCUGGUGGCCUGUGGGGUGCCGAUCCGUUGCCUCUGUAGUCUGUACGGGGUGCGAGACAAGAUGGCACUGUGCGAGCAUGUUAGCUGCAGCGCCCGUUGUGCAUGCCUCCGUCGCCCAUGCUUGGACUCUGUACGAGGUGCAUGUGCACAUAUGCGCGCUAGAGCCGCAUCGGUUAGCUGUUCCGGGGAAGCCUUUUGUCUUUGUCUCCAUAUAUGCAAGACUGCCCUCUACGGCGAGAGCAGGGAGAUCUGUCAUGUGCUCCGUAACGUUGGCAGUUGGUUCAUGCGCGAUCAACUCACAUUCCACCGGAGCUGGGGAGCACGCACAGGGAGGGCAUAAGAGACGCUCCAGUCCAGUCCAGUUCCAACAAACCCAUCAGCGACCUUUUUUUUUUCCUGGAUUUGUCUGAAUGACAGAAUCAUGUGACGUCGUCCUAGUGAGUGGUGUGCGGUCUGGCCCAAAAUAAAAUGUGCACGUGGGCCGUAAGGUUUCGGUUUGUGUCUAUAAGGCCUAGCCCAAUUAAGUCUCAGCCCACGGUAGGAUCGGUUUCUAGCUGUUGUGCUGUUCAGCGUGGACGACCGUCGUCGCCGUCGGUUGCCCCGUGGGCCAUGGCCUCUCUGCUAGAGACCGAUCAUGAUGCACGUGCUGUUGACCACCGUGUGUAUAGAGUAGACUUUACAUUUGCGUAAAAAAAACCCAGAGAAAUCUGUUAGAUCUCGCUACAAUGAUUUAUGCACCAUCCUUUCAAUGUAUUUGUGCGCGCGCGCGCGUGUCAUGGAUAGCUAGAUUGAUCCUUGAGCACUUUAACAUCCACGGAUUCAUCAAUGCACAUCCUCUUAUUCUCUUUAUAGUACGACGUAACUAACUCAAUUUCAAAAUAGAAAAUGAAUUUAAAUCUUCCCCUCUUGUACGCAUACAUCAUGAUCAUUGGUAAUUUGCAUAUCAUACCCAAUCACAAGUUUUUACACACCUUGCCUACAUAUCUUAAUAUAUUCAUUAGUCUUUUGGUCACUAGAGAGAGCCUGGAUACACUUUUCAACUUUACGUGUGCAUAAAAAAAACUUGAGAGAGAUCUAGAUGCAAUGACAUAAGCAUCACCCCUUCCAUGUUUUUUUUAUGAAACGCCCCUUUGAUGUAUAAAACGUUGUGGAUGAAUUGUCAUUGACCUGUUUUAUCGAAGUUAGUAGGGAAGUUCCUACCUAUUUUUUAUAUAAUUUCUAGAUCCGUUUAAUUUGCUUCCACGGAGAGUCGAAUCCGAGCAUGCUAGGUGUUACUCAAGUGCUCUAAUCAAUAGCCUAGAGGCCCUUUUAUAAUUGUCUUUGAGCCGUUGGGAAUGUGAUAAGCAACAAGGCUAGAUUGGGAUGCUUCGCAAGCGCUGUUGGAUGCAAUGCACCAUCUUUUAUCCUCUAGCCAAGCUUGACUUUACCUUUUUUGAAUUGGGUCCGAUCCCAGAUUUAAUCCAUUUUUAUAGAAAUUAAUAAAUGAAAACAAUCAUGGAUUGGCCAUGUAAGAUAGGUGCUAUUAGUGUUGUGAUGUGAUAAUUGAGAAUAAAGGUCCACAUGAUAAUUGAUAAUUGAUCCACAAGGAAUUAGGGUAUAAAUGGACCUACAACAUGGAAGUCUAUUAAUGUACUCUAUAAAUAUGAGGGGUGGGGCUAGGGACGUAUUAUCCCACCACGCCAUAAAACCCUAGCCGCCACUUCCUCUCGACCUAAUCCCGAGACCCUUGCCGCGCGCGCGGUGCUAGCACACCAGCGCAAAAGUAUUUCUCUCUUGUACGUGUGGACUCCGUGAAGGUGUUUCUUUUGUGCUAAUCGGCUACGACGGCACGAGGUUGCUGCUGGAUGAGGAUGAGGCGAUCGUGAUCGACUACUUCCUCUAUGCCGAUGCACAUCUAUAUUGGAUCGGUUGCUCCAACUCUUCUUCUGUUGUGUUGUGCGUCUAGUGAUAAGGAUACAUGACCCCCUUAGUUUCCUGGACGAACGCAGUAGAUAUAAUUUAUUGUAGCUAGAGUAUUCAACUUGUAUCCCUUCAAGUAGAUGCUAGAUACAUGCUAUAAGGUUUAUUACAAAUAAUAUUUAGUUAUUUUGGAAACAUAAUAUUUUAAUAUAAGUGUUAUUUCAAAGACAGAAAAAAUAUCACAUUUGGAUAUUUUCCUUAUUUCUUAUUUGUGUCCAAGAAAAUUCAUAUUUUGAAAAGGCGAUGGCAUAGAGUUUUUGUCGGUUGCUGUGGGAGUAUACGUGCACCACAUAGUUGUAACUGAACCGUUACAUAUAUUUUGAAUUGGAAAGACCUCAACAUACAAGAAUAUUUUUUGGAACUAAAACAUCAUGCUAGAAAUUAGUCGGGUGCAUACCGCAAAAAAAAUCAUUUUCCUGUUCGCUUCAGCUUAUAAGCCGGCUGAAAAGCUGAAACGGCUGAUUUGUUGUGAGAGGAAAAUAUUGUUUGGUGGCUGAUAAGCCGGCUGAAUAAGCUGAACCGAACAGGCCGUUUGUCGCUAGGCCUAAAUGGUACGUCUUCUCCGUUAGAGUAGAGUUUAUUAGAAGAAUUUGUAAAAAGUACAGUGCUCCAACAGACUUCGUUUACUUUUUCCUUUUCCCAAUAAUUAUUGAGACAACCAAAAAUUCACCCUAACUCUCCCCUAAAUAAAGGAGGAGUUAUGACUCUCCUAAUAUGGUAGUUGGAUUGUGAUGAGACUAUUGAGAGAUUGCAAAAGUAAUUCUGCUAAUAAUAAUGAAAUGGAUAUUUGGAUAUCCCAUUAACUUAGGCCUUGUUUGGAAGGAGGGGCUAAAAUUUAGCCUUGGGCUAAACUUUAGCCCUCUCAAAUGUUGAGGCUAAAGUUUAGCCCUUGGGGUGUUUGGGUAAGGGGUUAAAGUUUAGCACUUAUGUUGACAAAAGACCUAUUUACCCAUGUUGGAGGAGUGAGAGGGAGGAGAGAGAGAGGGGCAAGGGAAGGAAUUUUGGAUAGGGGGACCACUUUUAGCUCCUUUAGUCCAUUUUAGCACCUCUUGAGGGGCUAAUGGAUUAUGGGGGCUAAAAUUUAGCCCCUCCAUUUUAGCCUAGGUAUUGGGAGCACUAGUGGCUAAAAGUGACUAAAAUGCGGGUGCUAAAAUUUAGCACCCCUUUUCCAAACACCCCUUUAGAGCAACUCCAAGAGUAUCCUAAAAAAUUCUUCCCCAAAACUAUGUAUUGGGAGUUCUCCUAAAAAAAAUUUCCCCCAAAAACAUACCAGUCCACAGCAGAUCGCUAAUAAAUAGCUCCCAAUAUUUCAAACACAGGCCACGUCAUCGUAUUGGGCUCAUCGGAAGGGACGCGCGGGCGUGCGGGAAUCAGGAUUGGGGGAGGAACGCCAACGCUAAAAUAUACGCGGUGGCAGGCUGUUUUUUAGCACCGCUAAAAAAUUAGGGAAGGUUUAGGUGGAUUGUUGGAGUUCAUUUUUUCUCUCUUUUUUCCUAAAAAAAGGUAUUGGGGUGAGAUUCCUCUUGGAGUUGCUCUUAGCUUAGAAACUAAAGCUAGCUUGACAUGUUCUCGUGGAAGAAAAAAAAACAUUUUGUCGUUGGUACCAACCGAAACGCAUGCCGUUUUUUGUUUUCCUUUAUUUUCUUUAGCAUAUGGCUGCAUGAUUGGUUGCACUUGAUUGCUGCUUCUUCACCGAGAAAAAGAAGAAGAAGAAGAAGAUGCUCCCUCGUCCUUGGUCAAAGCCCAGUCCUGAGUCUUUGGACCUUGGUCCAGCCAGCAGAGAAGAAGGAAGCCGAAGGAUCACCCCCAUGCUACGAGUACGACCGCCGCCGUCUCUGUCCCCCCUGUUUCGCUUCGGUUCCUCGAAACAAUCGAGGCGAGAAACCCCCAGCCCCAACUCCGCUGGAGCACGUCCCUCCACCACUCCACCAACUCCGGCCCGACCCCCGACCCUCGAGGCCAAAAACCCCAACCAGUCCCCAUCCACCACACCGCGGCCCCCCGAUUUCUUCUUCCUACGUGCGUGCCGUGCCCCCGGCCAGCCAAGGGCAUUCCGCGCUGCACCACCGACCGGCGCCCCGCCGGCACGAUGUCCUCCGGCUCCGGCGCCGACGCCUCCGACCGAAACGCCGCGCUCGACCGCCUCUCCGGCCCGCAGCUCGUGGCGUACCUCCGCACCACCAUCCGCAGGGCCGACUACGACGCGGCCGCGCGGGUGCUCGACGCGCGCGACCGCAGGCUCGCCGAGGUUCAGGCCGCGCUCGCCGAGGCCCAGGCCGUGCUCGCGGAGGUCCAGCCGGGCCUCGCGGACGCGCGCGCGGAGCUCGAGGCCCUGCGGGAAAACUACCACGCGCUCCAGGCGGCGCACCGCGGGCCGAUCAGGCUCCCCUCCCGUGGUGCGAUCGCGGCCCCGGCGCCGCGGGGCGACGGGCGCGACGAGGUCAUCGAUCUCUGCGACAGCGGCGGCGACGACGACGAUGACUGGGAGGAGGGGGAAUUCCGCCCGGAUGCCGCGGGGGUUUCUUGCAAGGCGAAGGGGCCCGCGCCCGAGGGCCGGGAGGGGCGCCGCGCUGGGGUUUCUUGCAAGAGGAACGCGCCCGUGGGCUCGCCCGACGACGACGAUGAUAGAAUCCCGCUGAGCCAGCUUAUGAAGAAGCGGCGGGGACCUCAACCCGUGCCUAAUGGCGAACCCAAGAAGGGGCAUGGAGAUGUGCAGGCGAAUUCCGUCGGACCUUCUUUGGGGGAUCAUCCGCCGGAAAGGCCUCCCGUAAACAGGGGAGCCCCCAAGGCAAGUGCGGGGCAGAGAGGCGGUGCCUCUCAGCAGCUAAAGGUGGCAGCUGUCGAGCAGGGGAAAGGGAGGAUUUGCCAAUCGAGGGAGGCCGGAGGACUCUCCAGGGCAAUGCCGACUCUCCCGCCCACCGAUUCCGCUGUUGGGAACAACUCCCAGAAGAAAUCCUCCAAGGCCGAUGGUGCUGAAGACGGAGCAAGAAUUGGUGGCAAACAAGGUUCUGCUGCUGGUCCGCCCUUUCAGGUGAGAGAAUCAGCGAGAGCCGGUGCUGAAACGCCCAAGGAGAACACUGGUUCUGCGCUGGAUGCAACUGUCAGCUUGGUUCUCAAUACUAUCAGAGAGCAGGGGAAAACAAAUGGUGGAAUGCACAAGAUGAAGGCGCCACUGGAAACUAAUGGAUUUGGGGAGAAAGCUUGUAUGGUUGCGAGAGAUAUUAGAGAGCAACAGAAAACACAAGGCCAAGUGCUCAAGACAGAUGUGUUGCAAGGAACUAAUGGCAUCGGGCAGCAAAAUGUUAAGCUCGGUACAGUUCAGAAUAGGGAGGUUAGUGAUGGAGCCAGACUCAGGACCUCAGAUAAGCAGGUGUCAUCCUCCUUGAAGCCAAACAACCAGCUCACGCUGCAUUCAGAGCAAAUGCCAUCGGAGAGGCCCACCUCCUUGCAGCCGAAUAACCAGCUCACGCUGCAUUCAGAGAAAAUGCCAGUAAAGAGUUCAUUGCCUUCAGAAGUUACAAGGAACUGGGAAUCUGCUUCAGAAGUGUAUACCUCAUGUCUAGUAAAUAAUGAGAUCUGUAUGCAAGCUGCCUGUGCUCUUCUCCGACAAAAGAAGUUAUCAAUUCAAGAAGGAAAAGAUGGAUAUACUGUAGUCAACAAAUCCGAUGUACACAGGUAUGUUGAAAUUGAGUUCCCUCGAGGUUAAAAGGCAUGUGCUUUAGAAUAAUUACCAUAUUUGUGUCCACACUUAUAUUGUUUUUUGCAUGACAGCAGCGGGCAUAGGCUUUAACUUUGUACUAUAGCUUGUCUCAGAAUUGUAUUUUAUUCAGCAACAAGCUGCUUUAACAUGCAUAUAAGUUUAACUCAUAUGGAAUUUUGAAGGCAAGAUCAAGCACAAAUCACAUAAUUUGCAAGUCGUGGACCUUGUGAGCUUUCUAGUUGCUUAAUUUGUAUUUCACUUUGAGCAAUGGCCAUUCUUAUUUGAAUUCUGUAAGAAUUUAAUUCCAACAUGGGUAUGGUGGUACCAGUGAGCAAUGGCCUUGUAUUUGGUUAUACCAGUAAGUGAUGUCUCCAGUUCAGUUCAAGUUUCCAAACUGUGUUCUGAUGCCAAAAAGAAAUCCUAAACUUUGAAAUGUGUAUCCCCUUGAAUGAGCUUAUGAGCGUAGUAUUUAGUUUCUAGUUUAAUAUUUAAUGGCUAUGAGUAGAUAUCCUGUAAUUUAGUCAAGCAAUGGCAUGGGUUGCCGUUAUGCAUGAAUCUUAAACUCAGCAAAGCAUCAUUAGACCAUUAGUUAAAUUACGAUUCUGGUGUUUCCCCAGUAUAAAACCUUUUCCUUGAGAUCCAUUGCUCAAUCCCUUGUAUAAAAGACCAUUGCAGUGCUAUUUCUAGCAAUAUUUUUUACAACAUUCUGAUAUCUAUGCAUUACGUUAUUUAGUAAAAUUGUGAUUCAGCUUGGCAACGCUUUGCCAAAGUUAAUAUAUUUAUUCAUGCUGACUUAGUUAUUAAACGACAUUUAUAGUAAUAUUAUGUGUCUAACAAUGCCACAGUACUUUGUUCGCCAUAGUGGUUUCUGAAGUUAUAAUCGUUUGAUGCUGCUACUUUAGGGCGGCUUCGUUGGCGGAAUUUCUUUUGGAUGGCAACCUUCAGGGGCCGCUGAAAAGAACCGCUGAGGAACUAGCGAAGCGUGAUUCUGGGGGCGUUGACUUACUUGCCAGAGUAGCAAUGGGAUUCUCCGAGCAGUUGUUCAGUAUUUACAGGAACAAAGAGGACCCAUACUUCCGCUGAAAGUGACAAAACAGUACAUGGUAAGGUUAGAAUAUCCUUAGUUCCCUACCAUAAUCAUCUGGAAGGGGUUACAAUGUUUUGUUGUGAUGUACUAUACAUCUCAUGCUGAAACUAGUCAUCAUAACGAUUAGAAUGACUAGCAGUUGCAGGGUUGCAGUAACUCUCUUUCUUUAAUUGCAUUGCACUUAAAAGAUCAUACUGUUUGAGCUCAUUGAUGUCCUUCGUUUAGUUUCCAUGUUAAGAUGUUGAUGAUGAGGUGAUAAAGAGUAUGAGCUGGAAAUCUGUAGGACAGAGAAAAUGAUUUUGCUGUAUCCUGUGGUCUGUGGAUCGGCAGAUCGACUGUUCUGCUGGUUGCAUUCUUGGUUCUGGCAAUUAAUUCGGAUUCGGAUCAACGUUGGUGUUAAUUCUCUGUGAGUUCGUUUGGUUGGUUAUGCUGGAUCCCGGGGGGGAAAAUUGAUUGCUGGCCGUGCGAACCGGAUGUGGCUCUGUAUCUGUUCUGACAGCUGCCUGAGUUCAGUCUGUCAGUCUGAAAUACCUCUCCGUUAUAUGAAGGGGCCGAGUGAAGGUGAAACAUGUCUAUGGUUCAUGCGCCAUACAUGGCGCAUCAACAUUGUGAACUGACACCAACAAAUACAGAGAGAUUUGUAUUUGUACGGUUCUUGAGCUCAUCGUCUCACCUUUUUGGUACUGCGAUCGUCGCUCUGUGUGCUGCGCGCAAAUGCUCUCCAUGUUGUAGCCUCGUAGGCUUGUAUCUGCUUACACUGCACAACUUCAGGCAUAGUACACUGGACUCGGGUGCAGAUUCCAAAGUUUCCAACCGCCGGAUGCUAAACAUAGGCGACGGGCGAGGCUUCGUCAGUCAUCGUCAUCCCAGGUAAAAGAAACCGAUCGACAGGUAAAGAUACCGAACGUGACCUGAAUCCGAGCGCGCGAGGAACGAGGCCUUCCGUCCCCUCUCGAUCGGGUCUCGGCUCGGCCUGCAUGCCUGUUCGCGUUCGACCAUCCGGAUAUAGGGCUGUAUAAAUCGGGGCGCCCCCUCCUGCACCGCCGAGUCGUCGAAACGCCGAUCGCCGCCGCGCUCUCUCCUUCUCGUCCUGAUCCCCCCAGAUCGAGCGAGAGGGAGGGGCACCCGGAGCAGCCCGUCGUUUUGAUCGGUGUCUCAGCCACCCCGUUCCCGCGAGGAGAACAAACAGGAACAGCCCCCCCAAAGAUGGCGCCGAUCUCGAGAGCCUCCGUAGUCCUUGUGAUGGCCGUCGUCGCCGUGCUCGCCGCCGCGGCCAACGCCCAGGCCCCCGCCUCAGCACCCGCCAGUGACGGUCAGUCAUCUCCACCCCUUCUCUUCACCGUUGUUUUUCUAGUCUCGCUGCUGCAUGCUUCUCUUUCUUGGGGAGGGUUUUGGGAGGAGUACCCGAUGCAGGUGGGAGGAGUGCACUAUGCAGCUACGUUGUUUGCGUCGAAUUGAAGAAGAGCCUGUCAGCCUGAUGACAGGGAUUUCUUUUUCUUCUUCUGAUGAUGAUGAUGGUGGUGAUGAUGAUUGGUAUCUCUUGUUCAUGGUUUUUGGCAGGAACAAGUGUAGACCAGGGGAUCGCCUACGUGCUGAUGCUGGUGGCGCUUGUCCUCACCUACCUCAUCCACCCCUUGGACGCCUCCUCCGCCUACAAGCUCUUUUAAAAUCAAUCAUUUACUUUCGAAUUUGGCGCUGAUUAAGGUGUAAUUAAUGGUGUUCGAUUAAUUGAUCCAGUUUGCUCCAGAAUCAGGAAAGGAAAGCUAUGCGUGCAAUCCUUGGUACCUCUACGCUUUUUACGAACUUUCAGUAAUUCGAUCCGGUCACCUCCGGCGUAGCCUCAAGAAGUAAUGCAACACAUACCAAAGGUUCUAUAAGAAUUCUGACGCUGACAACAAUCAAUCUCGUCCAAUGUAUCCAUGUGAAAUCUUUUAACUGGCGACUGUAAAUCGACAUCGGGAUGUAGGGUGAUAAUUUUUGUAGGUUUUUUUAGGUGUAUUAGUAUUACUCGCGACAUAAAUAGCAUACGUAGGACUAGUGAUAUCAUUUGCUUAAGUGGGGGAUUUUCUUCAAAGGUUCGACCCCGAUCUAUUUCGUGUUCCAAAGCUGCAGGAUUUUUAGCUAAUAAGCUGAAAACGGACAAAUAUACCUGUCAAGCGAACUGAUUACACUGAAGUUAUCCUUUGGGACUGAACGAGAACAAUCCCACUAAACCCGGACGUGCCAGACUCCAUAACAUGAAAUCUUACUCGACACGGCGAGUACACGACGGCAUCGGCAUAUAGCGCACAAUUCUAAAAUUCAGCAUCGUCUGAUAUGGAGCGACUCAUAUGGAGGAUGUGGGCGUUGCCAAAGUGCAAAUUCUUUUCAUGGUUAGCCUUCCGAAACAGGCUAUGGACAACAGAUCGACUAAUUACAAGAGGAUGGCCGAAUCAAAGAGUAUGCAUGCUUUGUCAUACGCAUGAUGAAACAUUGCUACACCUGCUAGCAAAUUGCCGCUACAUAGUUCGACUUUGGGAUAAAAUUUUCGAUUGGACGGCCACCCACGUACCACCCAGAGCAAUCCCCAGACCAGAUUGGUCUGCAGUUUCAUCCGUCACCGAAUGGUGGACAUAACUAGGGGCUAUGCCUGGUGCGCCUCUUAAGGGUUUAAGAUCCCUUAUCAUUCUUGUGUCAUGGGAACUUUGGAAGCAGCGCAAUGAAAGAGUUUUUCAGUAGAAGUUUAAAAGUUUGAAUCAACUCUUUCACAAAAUCAAGGAGGAAGCACGAUGUUGGAUUUUAGCAGGCGCACGAGGACUUGGGCAAUAUCUGGCACAUAGAGGAGUGAUUGUUUUGUAAAAGUAAAUUCACUUUAAUUUCUGUACGAUCUUCGCCUUUUUUGGUUUUUUUGACCUAGACCUGUAACUCUCUUCUCUAUUAAUUAAUACAAACCUGGCAAUCUCUGCCGGGUCCACAGUUUCAAAAAAAAAUUACAAUAUAGUUACAGCUAGGAGGUCUUACGAAUUAGAAAUGAGGUUUAUUCCUCUUAAAUCGACUGACCGGUUGUUUAUCUAUUAAUCAGCCAAAUUUUUAACAAACACUUUAGGUUAGCAUUAUAGCAUUUGGGAACUGAGGACUUACCUGUGGUAGUGGUUGUAGAGCGUACCACGAUGUUCAUUGGCUAGCGGUUUUGCGGGAGGCGAGUGGGACUGCGAUGGUGAGAGCCCAUCGGUGGGCUAAGGAGGUAGUGAGGGAGCUCGAGCCACCAAAGUCGAACAAGAUUACAAGAAACACUUGCUAGGUGGCUCAGGCGGGGAAAAGGAGCCGGCCUAGGGAGCGAGGAGGCGUCAAGGUGAGGCUAUUGGCACCAUAAAUAGCUUGUUGAGGUGAAGAGAGGAGAUGUGGCGGUGGCGCGGGAGAGAUGUAGGAGAAAAAAAAGAAGAAUUAUGUUAUAAAUGAGGCAUUCAUUGGAUUUAAAAAUGACUUAUGUAAAAAUUAGUAUAUUAUCCAGGAGACAUGCCUAUUAAGAAAUAUAAAAGAAUUACACUAGAUAUUUGCUUAGGAAAUCUGUCGAAUUUUACCUCAGAAUGGCGACGACAUUCAUGCUGAGGUCCAUCCCCUCCGUGCCCGGCGGCAUCACCUCCAUUAACUCCAACGAGCUUUAGGAUUAGGGGCUCGGAUUUGGAGGAUUUGUGGCGUGCAACCAUAGAGGAGAUGCCCAAAGAACCUGGCAGCCCAACAAUCAUGGAAGUCACAAGGGCGGGAUGACAAUGCGUCGGUGGACCACAGUUAGAACUUCGAAGAAGUUAGCUAGGGCGGCAAAUCUGGUGGCACCCCAUCACCGGAAGGUGGCGUUGGAAAGCAGGAACACCAAAGUCAGAGGAAGAGGAAGGAAAGAAAGGGACAGGGUAGGCGACGGUAGGGUUAGAAAUGUCUGCGGCCGGUGGAUGGGGAAGACGGUCCGUGCCGGCACCAGGGGCGGCGCCAACAAGGUGGGGACGCGGCGCAUUUGCAUGUGUAUAGAUAGAUCCAGUGGUGUUAGGGGGCGGCGGGGAAGGAGCAAUAAGAGGAUAGGUUUGAGGAGGCUUAUAUGUGAGCCAUUUGCAAUCUGAGCAAUUUGUUGAGAUCCGACGUUUGAAAAUUCGACAUAUUUACUAAUUUAGUGACAUAACUUUGUUGAUGAAUGAAUAGAUAGAUCCAUUUGGAAAAAAAAAACAUAGCAAGGAGUCAUGAACCAUGAGGGUAAAAAAUUGCUUAUACAACGAUUGGUUGUUUUAGCACCACAAAUACACAGUAAUGUAUGAGUCCUUGACAUACAUAAGUUACAAUUUAAGUACUACAGAAUACUCUUGAUUUUUGUCCUCUCAUUUUUUGCAAAGCCAACUGUAUGCAUACACACUCAAACUCCAUGGAACUCUCUCUCAACCUAAUAGAAGCUGGCAACAUAUAAGAGUUGCUCUUAUUCUUGUUCCUUAAUUCCCACGCUGUUCAAACCGGCAACAAUUAUUACGUGCGUACUGUUAUAGUUUGGUAUAAUGUGUGCUCUGGAGGCACCGAUCAGGCAUGCAUGGAGCUCUGCCACUCUGUGCUAGAAACAGGCAUCUUGUCGUCCCUGCUCACGUCCGCAGCGCCCAUGCCCGGGCCGGCGGGAGCGCCGGAUCCAGUGCCGACGUUGCCGUCCUCCCCGGAGAUCUCCUCGAGCGACCGGCCCAUGGUCUCCGGGACGAGGAAGGUGAAGGCGAAGCCGAGCAUGUUGGUGAUGGAGAGGAUGAUGAGCGCCAUCUUGAUGUAUUUCACGUCGUCCGUGAGCGUGAGUCUCUGCACCCCGUAGGCGGCGACGAUGGCGCCGGCCUUGCCCGACGCGGCGCUGAUGGCGUGGCAGGUGGAGCGCACGCGCGUCGGGAACAGCUCGGCGGGGAGCACGAAGGUGGUGCUGUUAGGACCGAAGUUGGCGAAGAAAAAGGUGAGCGCGUACAAGAACGCGAAGAGCGUGGUGCGCUUGUUCCUGAGGCUCUCGUACAUGAUGCCCAUGGCGAGCAUGAACGCAGACAUCAUGAAGAAACCGAUGAGCUGGAUCAGGUACCUGCAGUGGUUGGAUCCAUCAUAUCGAUGUGUAUGUGUAGACUCAUUUUGUUUCAAAUAAAAUCCGAAGCAAGUAGUUGCUAGUAGCUAUGAAUCAAGCACGUACCUGCCCAUUUUGUCGAUGAGAGCGACGGUGACCCAGUAGCCGGGGAAGGUGCCGAGGAGCGCGACGAGGAACAUGGCCUUUGAAAUCUGGAACACCUCGGUCAGGGCGUUUAUCUCCUUGGCGGGGCUCGUGAGGUGGAUCGCCGGGAAGAUGUCCUUCUGGGUGAGGUUCUGGCUGUAGAAGGCGAUGUCGAGGAGGAACCACGUGGUGGCCGUGCCGAGGAGGUGCAUGCCGUGGCGGCGGGCGAACUCCACCGACAGCAGCGGGUAGUCGUUGGCCGCCUUGUACCUGGCGAGCUUCUCCUGCUCGGCCUGGAUCUCGACGUCCAUCACCUUCUCCAUGUCGCUGGCCGCCUGCUUGGCGUUGCCCUCGAUGAGCGCGGUGUACCUCGCCGUUUCGGGCAUCUUCAUCCGCCAGUAGAACGUGACCACCGCCGGCACCGCGCCGAUCAUCAGCACGAUGCGCCACAUGUAGUCCGCCGCCGGCCACUGGUUCGACGCCCUGGGGUCUUUGGGGUUCUGUUGGAUUGCUUCUUCAAACGAUGGCGCGGGGUGGUAGUGCAGGAGAAGGCCCGAGACGAUCAUGGACACGAGCCCCGCGAAGAUGAUCCCGACGCCCUGCAUGGCGAACACGGCGGCGAUGAAGGCGCCGCGCGUCUUCUUGUUGGAGUACUCGGACAUGAUGGUCGCCGACAGCGGGUAGUCGCCGCCGAUGCCAAAGCCGAGCCAGAAGCGGAAGAAGCAGAGCGUGCCGAUGACGGCGGAGGGGGAGCUGCCGAAGGAGAGGCCCGAGGCGAUGGCGCAGGCGGCCAUGAGCACGAGCGUGAUGCCGUAGACGCGCUUCCGGCCGAGCUUGUCGCCAAAGUAGCCGAAGACGAGCUGGCCCACGAGCGUGCCGACGAGGGCGACGCCGACGACCAUGUUGUUGACGCUCAUGGGCAGCGUGCCGGGCUUGCUCUUGGAGGCGUCGGAGUCGUUGAGGUUAUCGAACGGGUAGUAGAGGCGACCCAGCAGCUUGGAGACGGUGGAGAUGCAGAAGAGGUCGUAGGCGUCGGUGAAGAAGCCCAUGCCGGCAAUGACGAUGGCCUUCAUGUGGUACAUCUGGGUGCGCGCCGAGUCCAGCGCGUCCAGCACCGCCAGGUUCGGCCCGGCCGCCGGCGCGUCCGCCAUCUCGAUCGCCGCCGCACACAAGUCAGGCGCCGACGACGGCAGGGGUGUUUGCGCGUGGGUGCGAGUAGUGCGGCUCGAUCGAUCCGUGUUCUUGGUGCUUUGGCUGCUUGCUGGUUCGGGCUCAAAUAGCCGGCGACGUGCCCGGUAGGAACCGGGGAGGCCAUCACAAGGUCGAUGAACGAGAGGGGGGCGUCUGCAACGAGGCGAACCCCGUCGUCAUCCGCGUCCCCUGUCUCGUGCUGGUUGGCAGCAUAUUCCGCUCGAGCACUAUGCUCGAUCUACGCCCCGAGAGCGAGAUCGAUGAGGCUGUGAACUUGUGAUGGAUCGGGCAGUGGUUAUGGACGGAUACUAUACGGACCUGCGGUCUUGUGUCUCGUGCGAUCAACCGGGAGACCGCAGCUGGGGAUCGUUCGUCGCUAGCCGGACGCGCGUAGUCAACUAAGAAGCAAUCGUGUCGUUUCGACCGGGAUAUUCGACAGCGAGUCUGCCGCCUGCCGAUUGGCGAUGGGCACCAUAUGGUUUCCUCACAGUUACAGGCCAACUGUCCAAAUCAUAAAUCAUGCAGGAUGCUACGGUAACAGAAUAUCCAAGUUACAUUGUCUUUUACCUCAACUUGCUCGUGAUUCUGAAGCAUGUAUCUGUGCAGAUAUUAUUUGGCCAGUUAACCAAGGUAGGCAUAGGCAUUUGUUUAGAUAACUAAUUAACAGGCCUGACUACGUUAAUGUGGUUGCUAAAUGAUUAGUUUGCUGAGUAUGUUGGUUUUUUUAGUAAAUAACUUGGUUUGAUUGGUCCAAUGUUAACCGUGCCGCUAAUGAAGAUAUGAUUAGUGCGUAAGCUAAGUUAUUUGGCACAGGAUGGUUUGGGUAUUGGACCGGCCAAUAAACCUUUUGUUUUGCUGUUAGUCUGAUUGCAUUGGUAGUGUUAGUUGAAUUAACAGGUGAUUAAUCGGCGUCGUGUAGUCAGCUAGUUGAUUUGACCGAUUAACAUAUUGAGACAUUUUAUAUUUCUUAUUUUGUCAUGCAAGAUGCAGGACGAACCGACAUUUUCUUAUUUCGUCACGCAGGACGCAUGAUCUUGUCUUUAGCACUUGACUGGGUCCACCUAAUGCAAGACAUCAUGAGAGAAUAAGUUUGAAAGUUUACUCGCGGUUUCUAAAUUUUAGGUUGUUUUAAUUUUAUUCUGUCUUACUUUAAUUAAGUUUAUAUAAAAUAUAUUAACAUCUACGAUAUUAAAUAAAUGCACUAUCAAUAUAUGUUACAUAGUGUAUCUAAUAAAACUAGUUCGAGGUUAUAGAUAUUUGUAUAUUUUUCUAUAAAUUUAGUAAAAUCUACAGAAGUUUUAUUUAGGAUAAAUCUAAAAUCAUAAUUCCUUUACUUUGUAUGUCAUCCUUUCAAUAAAAAUAUAUAUUGUAUAUAACUUGUACAUGUAGUUUUGUUUACCAGAACAGCUGUAUAAUGGAAAGGAAUUUUUUGCAUAGGGAGCGACUCAACAGGGCCAACUAUUCAGGCCCAGUGAAAGAACACUGGCGAAAAACACGGCUCCCUAUGCAUCACUGGGCCUGAAGAAUUGUUGCUAUGUUUGGGCUGAACCCGGGCUGUGGAAUCUCUCGGCCUGCCUAUUAACUACAAGGCCCGUUCAAAACAAAUGGCAUUGGACUAUGCCUCGAAUCCUCUAUGCGUUCAUUCUUCUUCUUUCUAGGGCCCUUAGUGGGCGAUCGCUCGCCGCGGGGCAGUUGCGACGAACGAGCGUUGCCAGUAGCUAGCAACGCGCGUGCAUACGUAAUAGAUAGCAACGAGUAUUUUUAUUCCCUCCACAGCUGUUGCUACUCGCGGGUUCCCAUUUCCCAGGUCAGGCUUCAAAACAUGUGCGUCUAAUUUUCUCUUCUCCGACCAGCUGCCUGGCCAGGCUUCAAACGUUCGUGGCAGCGAUUGUCUCUUCGGUUCUCAGUUCCCGUGCUCCUUCUGAUCCGCAUCUAAUUUCUUUUUCGGGACAGUGGGUCAGUGGGUGUGAGAAUGAAAAGGUGACGCUUGGUUUCUUUGCUUAUUUUUAAACACGUGUCACAUUGAAUGUUUAGAUACUAAUUAGGGGUAUUAAACGUAGACUAUUUACAAAACNNNNNNNNNNNNNNNNNNNNNNNNNNNNNNNNNNNNNNNNNNNNNNNNNNNNNNNNNNNNNNNNNNNNNNNNNNNNNNNNNNNNNNNNNNNNNNNNNNNNAUCAUUAGCAAUGUUUACUGUAGCAACACAUUGUCAAAUCAUGGACUAAUUAGGCUUAAUAGAUUCGUCUCGCCGUUUAGCCUCCACUUAUGUAAUCGGUUUUGUAAAUAGUCUACGUUUAAUACUUCGAAUUAGUAUCUAAAUAUUCGAUGUGACGGGUGCUUAAAAACAAGCGGAGGAUUGUUUGACAUACAUAUACAUGUGGACAUAUACAUGUGGACAUUAAAGUAACCUUAAUUUUUUUUACAAAGAUAACAAUCUGUUUUCUUGAAAAAAAAGAAAAUUUUUAACUCUACACGAAGAAAAUGCCCGAUAUGUUUAACUCUUUUAUAUUGCAAAUUGAAGCGUAAAAAUUAUAAAAAAGACAAGGGAGCAGGGGGUAAACAAGUUAUGGGCUGCCAUGUUAACAACACAAAAACAAACUGCUUGACCACCCUCUGCACCAAACAUUGGCAUGAUCUUCAUCUACGAGCUGUAUCCUCAAUGACAGAAACCAACGGUGAUACUCUGAGAAAAUCAAAAGGAGAAAAAAAAAGUGUAACUCUUGUGCAAAAGUUCUAUAGUUGGACAAGAAAAUAGACAAAGAAAACUUGCACGCGUGUUUAGUAUUCUCUUUUUAUCUACAACAGUAUCAUCCUUUUCAUUGCAUGGAUAGGUCAACAGAUAGCCGGACAAGCAGGUGUUUUGCAUCUUCCUUUGAAAAAGAAUUUCUAUUUAAGGACCUGUUUGGAUACCCUGUGUUAAAAUUUAACAAAUGUUAAAGUUUUAACACUCUCAGGGCCUGUUUGGUUCCUCUUGCUAAACUUUAGUUGCUAAAAGUUGCUAAACUUUAGUUGCUAAACUUUAGCAAAAGUUGUUUGAAUACUCUUGCUAAAAGUCAUUUGAUGAGCUGUAAAAAGACCUAUAUACCCUUAUUAAAGAUGCGCAGGAGGGGGGAGACCAGCAAUAAAUGAGGGGUAUAGGUUGUCCGGCCCACCUUUUAGCAAGUUUUAGCAACCAAAAACUUGCUAAAGUGCUAAACUUUAGCAACUCAACUUUAGCAAGUUUUAGCAAGGGUGUUUGGCAGUUUAGCAGCUAAAAGUUGCUAAACUUUAGCAACUAAAGUUUAGCAAGGUGGAACCAAACACCCCCUCAAAUACAGUGCUAAAGUUUAACAUAUUGCGGUGUUUGGAUGAUGUGUUAAACUUUAACACCUUUGGUGGGAAAUGACUCCAUUGCUCCCUCAUUUAUGGCCGGCGGAGAGAGAGGGAGAAGAGAGAAGGGGUAACCUGGGAAAAAGUGAAGAGAGGGACCACUUUUAACACCUUUAGCAAGUUUUAACACCCCCUCCAUGUGUUUAUGAAAAAUGAGGUGUUAAACUUUAACACCCCACUUUUAACACAAGUGUUUGGAUAGGAAAGUGUUAAAAGUGGGGUGUUAAACUUUAACACCCCUUCUCAAACAGGACCUAAAAAUGCUCCACGUAUAUUAUUUAACCUUGUCGUAAACACAGAAAAAUAAUAAAAAAGGAAGCAAAUGCACUAUGAAUGUUGGAACUUUCUACUAGCCUAUUUCAAACAUCGCAUACCUAAAUAUAAACUUUGUUAUUGUAAAUUUUACACUCUAAAUUCAAAUGCUGAAUACUUGCACACUUCAAACAUUAUCUGUCGAUAUUUCAUACUGCCAACUAGUGAUCGUAAGCCGCCAUCUCCUCACUUCCGAUGGCUAGCACACAAGAGACAAGGGGUUAUACUGGUUCGAAAAGAUCCCUACGUCUAGUUUUGGCAGAAGUCGUGUUUCUCGGAUCAAGUGCACUGGGCUUAUAAUGGGAUGCUUGUAAGUAAGCGUUCGUGCGAUGCGUGGGGGUGUGUGUGAAUGCGAGAGAGGAGGAAGAAAGGCUCAGUUCCCUUUAUAUAGACCAGGGAUCGAGAAAAAAUGUUUGGAGAAAGGAGUGGGUUCCCCAACCUCAGAGGUCGGGGUGUGUAGCAUGGCCGGGUCGGCCUUGCACUAGGGGGCUUCCUUAUCUUGUCCUCUUGGCCGGUCGUGGGCUCCGCAUGUCUUGUACGGUGGCUCCUGUGCGGUGUGGGCCCCUUAUGCAUGGCCUGGCUUGCUUCAUAGCGUGCCCCUAUCCCGUCCGCCAACCCCGUGGCAAUGAACAGGACGGGAGCUGCUGCUAACGUCCGUACCGAACAUGAGUGUCUGAGCAUUUGGUCAGCGGCCCGGAUGGGGCGUGCCGCUCAUCCCAGCUUUCUCCAACCUCUUUAGUGCGCUCAUGGCCUCUCCACAUCGUAACGCCUGUCGUUGGGUCCCGUCUCGCCUGCGGGCACGUACCGGGUCUAGCGUUUUGGCAUGGCUUUGAUCUUGACGGGUCACCCUGGUGGCGAGGGCGAUGAUAACGUCGGGGCGCGUGGGCACAUACGACCGCGUGUGGCCUCGUGCUGCCAGCUGUCCUGAGCGGUUCGAAGGGUGUGGCCUCAGCCUCAAAAUCCCCGACUAAAGGUCAGCUCCCUCCGCUAGGUCAUGUCCCCAUGUAGGGCGGUCAGGGGGGCCACGCCCCGCAUUUAAUGCCACAAGUAUGGCAUCGGUCACCCUUGGUCAAGGAGUGGGUGGGGCAUUGUGGGCCUCUUGCAGGCCCCACCCUUGGUUUAGCUAAGGUGGGCCGUGGCGUCUCCUGAGCCGCCUCCAAUAUGCUCCUGCGGUUGGACCCCCAGCCUUUUGUGUGUAGCUAUCUAGAAUCCCUUCCUCAGGAUACCCUUGGUACAUGCACCCAUCAUUAUCAUACAUAACUUUGUAAAUCCAAACUUUGCACUAUGAAUUUAGGAACUCUGUACCAUCGCAUAAUAAACUUCACACUUAUAGCUAUAAAAUUUUGUAAUUCUAAAACUAUAUAGUCAAAAUCCUAAAACUUUGUACUAGCAUAUUUUGAUAUUCUUGUUUACAGACCUAAUACUCUGUAAAAAGUUUGUACACCUAUAGCUUUCAAAUAAUAGGCAGGGGACAUUUUACUGCCCAUACAAAAACUUUCUACAUCUUAACCAUUAAAGAUCAUAGAAAAAAAAAAUUGAAUCAUAAAACCCCUUUGGAACAUUGAACUAACCCAUUUCAAACAUUCCAAAGUUUAUUAUAAAACUUUAUACUCUAAAUUCAGUGGCUUAUUACUUGCAUUUCCAACAUUGUACUUUUAGAUAAGAAAACUUUGUAAUUUCAAAUUUUGAAAUUUAAACGUACAUUGUAUAAUUAUUUUUAAGCUUGAUGGUCCAAGCAGAAAUUAUAUUUUUUCUAACUUAGCCAAACAUUCUACUAGGAUAUUUCAAACUUUGCUCUCCCAAUUUAAGAAUGUUCUAUUAUCAUAUUUUAAAAAGUUGUAUUGUAGUUCAGAAAAGUUUAUGAUUCUAAAAAACACUGGACUCCGAAAUAUAGGAACCUACAACAUCAUAACCUUUGUACAGCGAACUAUAAAAGUUUUAUGCUUCCAAAAUGUUUAGCUUCUAAAUGUAGUUACUUUAUACCAGCUUUUAUAAAUUCUAAAAACACAAAGCAAAGCCUACUACAUAGAUAUAUACAAAUUUCAAAACAUUCAGCCUAGAAAAUUGAGGACAAUUCAAGUCACAUGAGAUUUAAAAAUUUUGGAUCCAGACCCAAACCAAAACUGAAAGUAGCAAUUUUAUCAUAUUAACAUUGCAAACUUUGUAAUCAAGUAUUAAAAAAUUGCCUACAUCUAUAGCUUCUAAAUAAUAAAAUCAAAUGCCUUAUGUGUAGAAUACCUUAGGUGUAGAAUACAAGAAAGUUAAAUCACAAAGUUAAAAAGUUUAUACAUCUCUAGCUUCCAAACAAUAUAUAAAAUACUUUGUAUUGGGAAUACAAAAUUUUUGAAAAUAUGUACUGAAAACUUCAUACAUCUCCAACCUUGUACUCGGAAUUAAAAAACUUUAUGUUCAUAGUUCAAAAAAUUUAAGCUACAUGAUUAGAAUGUCUCUGUUACCUGACUUUCAAGCUACAUAUGCAACACUUUAUAAUAGAAUAUGAAAAGCUUUUCACUAAUACACCUAAAAAUUUCUAGAAUUCCUAAUAUUAAAUGUACAUAUUGGAAACUUUUAUAUUUGUCUUUAAAAAAAUUUAAUUGACCAUGUGUAUAAACCUUUCUAUUUGUAGUUCAAAAAAAUUCAAGCUACUUGAUUAAAUAAUUGUCUUCCAUGUCUUUCAAUUUAUAUUCAACACUUUGUGAUUGAUAAAUUAUUACUUUCUAACUACAGAUCUAUAAGUUUACACAUAAAUUCAGAAGUAUUUCGAGACAUAUCCUAAAAACUUUUAAUAACCCCAGCUUUGAAGAU
rnacentral:lncRNA from 1 species